rnacentral:lncRNA from 1 species
CUUUUGUGACUCCUAAGUAAAGAAUACUUUUACUUCACACUUUUACUCAUCUUUGUUGCUCAUCCUUGUUAAAUCUCAUACCACUUGUUAGGAACGAAAAAAAUAAAACAAAAGCUUCUCACCUGAAAAAACUUAAUUAUUCAUCACGUGAGAUCAAUUGCAAAAUAGUUGACUUAUCCUCUCUCAAAUAUAAAAAACUUUACACAUCGUCUCAUAUAAAGAAUUUACAUGUUUUAUCUUGCCCUCUCUAGAAACAUAGAGAACACUUUCUUUGGUCACUCUAGAGAGAAACCUAAGAGCACGCAAGUAUUCCUCAAAUCUUGUUCUCUGGACACUCUAGAGAGAAACCCAAAGGCAUCCAAGUAUUCCUCACAUCUUGUUUUCCAUAUGUCAAAACUUAGAUAUACAUGUAAUAUUUAUAAAGGAAGCAAGUCCUAUUUUUUAGGAAUUCCUUAUUCUCCUAGGAAACUUGGCUAAAAAAAUUGAAAUUAAUUAUUAAUUCCAGCAAUAUAUUUAGAGAGUCAUCUCCUAAUAUCUUAAAUUUUUAGAAUCAUUGAAUCUAUUACCCUUGCAGCAUGAACUUUGGAUGUAGUUUCAUGAAACUUUAGGAAUGGUUGGUCAUCUAAUUAAAAUGUUUAUCGUGCUAGACUUUGGACCUUUCUGAUAUCAAACUUGAUUAUUUUGAUAAAAUAGGUGAAGAAUUUGGGAGAAUAUGCGCUCUUUUUAUGCAGCAACCAAUCUCUUUGUCUCUCUUGUAAAGACUUUCCUGAGUUGACACCAAACCGCAUCUAUUUCACUAAUGACUUUUGGUGGUGGAAUAAUCACCAUAGAGAGAAAUGCCGGGAUGUAAUCGUCUAUGACUUGGAGAGCGAUACCUUCUCAUAUAUUUUGCACUCUGAUGCUCGUCUAAACAUGCCACCUCCUAUUUGGAUCACUCCCAGUCCUCUGCUCAGUGACUAAUAGGUGAGUCAAAUAUGUCAUUCAAUUUCAUUUAGUUUAGAGGUUUUGUAAUAGUAUCCACUUUUAUCAUUAUACAAUUUGUUGCCUCGUUUAUUUUAGUACAAAUUUUGUAAAGGAGAAUGCACACUUUUUUUUUCUGUAGUCUUGAUGCUCAUUUAGUUUCUUUAUUUUGGAUGUAUGCUUGAUGUCAUAAUGUAAGCAAUCAACUGCUAUGGGGUUUUUCACCUAUUUCUCAUCUUAGUUUUGGAUAUACAUUUUAUUUUAUUCUUGAUUGGUUUAAGGUAUUUUAUAGGAAUUAGUUAGGUUGAAUUGAAACUCAAUUUCAUACCAUAGCGAGUCUCAAUGUUUUAUAGUUUUUGCCUUCUCAAAGAUCAAACAAUCUGGUAUCAAGUUUGCAUCCAUAAUCUUCUUUCUCGAAGGAAACAUAUUUAUGAACACCACAUGCAGAUAUGGGUCUAACAAUAGUUGAACAACAUUGAAAAUACAUGUAAUGCAAAUGACAUCUUAAAUUUUUGUAAUUGGUUUAUGUCAUUCACUGUUCUUUUAUUCAUUUUGAGGAAUGAUAAUGUGUACCACGAGUUAUAUUAGAACUAAACCCAAAUAACGAAGCACACGGGUCAUGCAUUGCGUGUAAGAACACACAUCCGCCUCGUGCAUGGAGCAACCCAUCCGCCAUCUAUUAAUUUUUAACCAUACAAAAUUACCAUUUUAACCCUAUUGUAGAGUCAUUUUCUGCACCUGAUAGCACGUGCGGUAUUUUCGUCAUCAGAAUCGAUGGUGUGAGGAGAAGCGGGGUUAAAUAUUUCACUUUCGUAAGUAUAACUUUUGAAAGUAUAGAGACCGGAAUUUUAAGGAUAGCUAACUAUACGGGAUAAUCUAUAAUUAGCCCUUAUUAUGUUGAGGAGUAAUGUUUGGCCUACCAUCAUGGGGUUGGAAGGUUGAUGAUCAUUAUGAAUUUGUUUUUUCGUCUUUGUGUACUUGUUGUGGAAAGAGAAGAUUGGAGUUUAUAAUUUUUCCAACUUAAGAGUUGAUCUCUAGAGAUCCGUUUACUAGAUGAUAUUAGGUGGACAUAAAAAAAAUGGCUAAAAUUUGAUGUCAAAAUGACCAUUAUUAUUAUUUUUUCAGCUAAUCAGGCCUCCUGCAUGGAUUGAAUGUGCACUUGGUGUAGGGUUUUGAAUAGGUUCUCUCUGUUAGAGUGUGGGAUCUUCCUGAUUGUUUUGAAUGAUCUUUAUUAUGCUUUGUCAUUGGUGUCAUAUUUUAUUUUAAUUCUUCAGUUUAUUGCUAAUUGUAUGGCUAGGGGCCUCACUUUUUUUCAUAUUCUGCCUUCAGUAUUAGAAAUUCUAAAGUUUGGGAGGUUGUUUUUUUCCUCACGUUUUAUUCACAUAAAUUAACUUGUCUCCGCGUGUUUCUUUGUAUCUAUAUGAGUAAUUGUCUAUUGUGAUUAAACCUGGUGGGUUAUAAAAUUUUUGGUACGAAUUUGCAUUCCAAUCAAGGUUUAAGAAGAUUAGACAAGCUUGCGAGAUUCAUAUUUUUGAGUUUCAUGGUAUUAUCUAAUAUUAGCUCUCUUUAUGAGGAUCUUCUGAGAGAUAACAAGAGAUGAUAUUUGAGGAUUCUUUUAUAAGCUAACAAUUUAUGAAAAAUCUCUUAACUAACUAAAAAACUAUUUUGGUUUAAUGUGGAUGUUUUUUAUGCAACUGAACAAUUUCUUAUAUUACAUGUUGUCAUGAUGUCUGACAUGGAGGCGAAGUGGUUGUGAAGCCAAUCAUGCCUUUCUGUCUCCUAUUCAGUAAAGAGCAAGUUUGGGUUAUACACCAUAGUUAGAAUGAUUCUGCAGACAUGGGAUUCUGAUGCUAUUCUUGCUGGGUUUGGGUCAAAGGUGAGUUAGGGUGAAAUUUACAUUUACAUUGUGAAACAAGAACCUUUUUUAGAGGACUUCCGUUUUUAAGGCUUCUCAUUUGAAUUAGCAAAAGUUAAGCUAUAAGGAUACUGGGGCUCAAGGGAAUUGGACAUGGAAUGAAAAUAAACAAAUAAAGAAUAAUACUUGAUGUAAACAUGCCUGAUUCGUAGGAAAAAGAAGUCAAUCAUAAAAAGAAGAUUUGGUUGAAGUAAAUCCUCCCAACGUUGUUUUGGUUGGUUCUAGAAGUGGCUUCCCUUGUCGUCAAUGUAGUUGGAAACAUUGCUCUCCACUGACACCAAAUGUUUAGCAGUUUGGGAAGGUAAAUGAAGAUAUUGAUCAUCAAGGGCAUUGAGUGGAUUGUUGAUGUGUUACUUGUAGACUGGUAAAUAUAAGUAGAAAGACAAGUUAAAUAUUGUAAUGGCUUUGAAAAGCAGGAUGUAGUAUAGGGUUUAUAUAAAGGUGUAAAAGAUAGGAAAUGGGUGCUUAUCUUGGAGAUGCUCAAAAUCCAGACCGACUUACUUUAGGAGAAGAAGAGAAUCUUACACCACUCGCACAUAGUAUUGAAAGUUCAUUGAGUUGUAAUUUUUUUCUAGUACUCCUUUUACAUAGAUCUCGCAUACAAGAAAAAGAGUAACCAGACAAAUUUAUUACUUGAAAGAAUAAUGGAAUCAAUCAUCCCAUCUUUAUUUCUGGCAAAUUUCUUUUGCCUCCAAAUUUUCAUUGAGAGAGAAUCUUCCUAUUAGCAAGAUCUUCAUUUGGAUUAUUUGCACUAAAGUAUCCGGGAAUAAUAUUAUGUAGACCUUUCAUUGUAUGGUGUCAUAUGCGAAUCAAGUUUGUUGUUAAUCCAAUCAUAGCAAUGCAGACCUGGCAAUUUAUUUCCUAUUACUUCUUAUCAUGCACCCAUAUAUAUCAUCAGCAUGUUAUCCCUGAAAUAUGUCAUAUGUUCCAGGAUUCAUCACCUGAAGAUUGUUUGAUUUUGUGCUAUUAUGAUCUGUAAUACACAAUUAAUGGGCUUGAAAAAAAAAAAAAGAAUUGGAAGCAUGAAUUAUCGCACUACCUUUUUUGAUGAAUAUUAGCAACCAGUAAAAUCCUUUGUCUGUUUGUUGUUUUUCUUUCUCUUCUCUUUUAUCUUGGGAAUGCUCAGAUUCGUUUUUGAUUGCUUUAAUUCUGCUUGGACAAACUCUUCAUGGCUAAAGUUUGCUAUGUUGUGUUGGUGGAUACAGAACAGCCGGGAUCAGAACACAAAGGUUCGCCCGGAUGCUGUAAAUGAUGAGUUCAAACCGUACCGUUACCACACUAUCAUGAACUGUGCUCAUGCCUGCCCCAUGGGACUGAGCCCCGCGAAGCAAAUUGAAUAUAGAUCAAAAAGCUUCAGCUUCAUUAAAUUUUUCCUGAGAUGCCAUUUGUUGCUUUGAAGAGGCAGCAUCUGCCAUUUAGUUAUUUUAUUUUUGCAUCAAUGAACAUUCACGGAUUGGUGAUGUCCUUGCAACUCUUAGUAUCCAAUUGUGCUCAUCAAUACUGACCUGAAACUUGUCUAUUUUUAGGAUGAUAUAAUUGUUGCAGCAAUUUCUACGGUCGAGGUUUGUUUAUGUGACUAGUUGGUUAAAUUGUCUAAUGGACUGUUGUUUGAUUUGAAUUAAGUUGGUGAUUGAAUUUGGUGUUACUGAAUCUGUAGAAUACCCAUUUUAUGGAAUUAUAGGCUCUUAUAUUGUCUUUUGGACUGUUACUCAAUAUGAAUUAUAUUGGUAAAUGAGUUUGAUGUUAUUGAAUGUGUAGAACGUGUAUCCAUGUUAAGAGUGUUAAAACACACCAUAUGAUAAGUUAUCUUUUGUUUUCAUCAAUAUAACCGUGAGAGCUCAUGAGAAAUUAUCUUUUUAAGAUGUGUUCUACACGAUUUUAUUUACCCCUUUUAAAAGGUGGAUUCCAAAAAAUACCUCUCCGGAUAGAGGUGAUAUUGAUCCUUGUGAAUAGAGACUAUAGUCGAUCCUCUCAGGAUAGAUAAUACAUUUAUUCAUCUCUAUUUCGAUCAAUAUCUAAUUAAUAUUUAAACCAUAUGGAUUUGAGCUUAACUCAUUCAACACUAUCUUUUAUUUGUUGACAUUCUAUAUCUUUCAAGAAUUUGGUAUACAUGCCAGCCAUGAAUAAUUUGGAAUGUACCGAGAAUGGCUUUGAGUACAGAAACAUUGCAUUGCCAUUCUAGCCAUAUAUAUACAUACAUUAUUAUUAUUAUUAUUAUUAUUAUUAUUAUUAUUAUUAUUAUUACCCACGUCACACACACCACUAUGCCAAUUGACAUUUCUAAAAUUGCGUACAUUUUAAAUUAUCUUUUAUUUAGUAAAUGUCGACUUUCUUGUUUUAAUUUUGUGUUGACUAUACUUUACUUAUUUUCAAAUAUUAAAUAUAAAUAUAAUUAUGAUCCUUGGUAAUAUGAUACGGGAGACUCGAUAGAUGCAGUGCAUUCCCAACAUUGAUAACGGUAGCAAUCAUAUUAAUCUCAUCAAUCUUAAUAUCAAGUGUUAUUUAAAUUUAAUAAUUAUUAACUAUUUUUAAAUUUUAUAAAUAUAAAUUUUAAUAAGAUUUUUAAUUUUAUUGAAUCAUAAAAAUAUGAGGUGUCAACUCUUAAUUGACUUGAACAAUAACUUAAAAUGAUCCGAUUGAGAAACGACAUCAAGAUCCAGAAUUAUCCCAAGAAAAUCUAAUUGAAAUUGAAUUAGUCCAAUUUUGAUUAUAUAUAUAUAUAUAUAUAUAUAUAUAUAUAAAUAAUUCCACGUAGCCAUAGUUUGCCAUUUGUGAGUGAUGUAUUUGCUGUAAAUAAAAAUAAUAAAAAAUUUUCAAAGUGCUCAAUGUGGUCGGUUAGCUUGAAAGCAUCACUUUUACAUUUGAUACUUUUACAAGAGACAAAAAAAAAAAAAAAAAAAGCUUGAUGAGACCUGCAUGUCAAAAAAAUAUUUAAAUUAUCUAAUGUAAUUAAAGUAUCCCAUUUAGGCAUCAUAAUUUUACUUUUGAUAAAAAAGUAACUAAUGUGUUUAAGAUGAACAAAACAUCCUUUUUACACAUGAUGUAUGCGUCUUGAGAAAGAAGUAUCUAGAACAUCUUAGGCAAUCAUAACAUCCUCUAUACACCUAAUGCAUCCACCUAAGACAAAGAUGAAUCCACCUAAGACAAAGAAGUAUUUGAAGCCUUUAAUAGUAUCAAAGUAUCCCUUUGUGCAUGAUGCGUCUACUCAAGACCAAAAAAAAGAAUUUAAAGAAUAUUCAUGAUUAAAAUGUCACCUUAGAUAUGAUUAAAGUAUCAUCUUUCGUGCAAGAUACAUCCAGUUAUGAGAACAAAGGUAUCAUAGCUCCUAAUAUGAUAAAUGCAUCCCUUUAUGUGAGAUGUGUUUGCCUUCGACAAAAAAAAAACCUAAAUCUUCUAAUGCAAAUACAAAUAAAGCAUUCUUGGUACCUUGAUGUAAAAUCAUCUUAUAUGACUUACACGAUUAAAAUAUCCCCUUCUACUUGCUAUAUUACCAUAGGACAAGAAAUAAUACCACUUAAUAAUCUUAGAAUUCAAAUAAUAGGUCCCAAAAUCUAUACUGUGCUAUAUGAUAAAUAAGCUUCUACCUCAAGUACGAGGGCAAAUGAUAUAACUAUUAUAUUUAGUCAAUUAUAACAUGACAUAUAGAUUCUAACCCACGCAUCCUGAAUAUAUUAAAUAUUUAAACAACCUAAUAUAUAUGCUAUAUUAGCAUAUUAUAUAAAUGAGAGUAACUCACUAUAUAAGGCAACCUCUAUAAGGCUAUUGAUUUUGUGUUGGAGUUAACUUGGGAAUAAGAAAACUAUAAAUAUAGAGAAAGGGAGGGCAGCGAAUCCUUGUCUUCACCAUGGCCGACUGGUCCAAUCUUCACCAAGAUGUCCUAAACCUCAUCGUCUCUGAGCUCUCCCUACACGAUCUCCUCUGUUGCACCAUUGUAUGUGGCACAUGGUUACGCACCAUUCGUGAUCUUCGUCGAUACUGCUCCAAGCUUUGCCACCAAAGCCCUUGGCUCGCAUUUAGUGGUAGCGGUGAUGACAUAGGUAGUGCCACUGAUGACCCCUCCGCUGCCCACUUCUUUAGCCUCUCAGAGCAGAAGGUGUACACCAUCCCCCUCCCACAACCUCCGAUUCGUAAUCGCCUCUUUUUGGGUUCCUCCUAUGGGUGGUUGAUCACCAUCGAUGAGUGUUUCAAGGUGCAACUAUUGAACCCCAUUAGUGGUGCACAGAUCAACCUCCCCUUCAUCCUCACACUCGAUAACAUCGGAUCCUUCCGCGACAUAUGGGGGCGCAUAAGAGGCGAUGUCAAUGAUCUCAUCCAUAACCAAUAUCCAGGGGAAGGGAUUCCUAAGCUCAAGUUCAAGGCCAUGCUAUCGUCAGACCCCUCACGAGGAGACUAUAUUGUUACACUCAUCCACUACCCCUAUGGGGGCAUCUCCAUUGCUAGAUCUAAUGACAAUAAGUGGACGACGAUGUCAUUUCCUGAUUUCUAUGAAGAUGCCAUCUUCUAUAAAGACCAACUCUAUGCAACAUUUUAUGGAAGGAUAGACAUUUGGGAUGAUCUCAAUCAAGAGUGGAAGAUGGUGGUGCCUGAGCCGGAGGUGGAUGAAAUUGAGCCCUUCAACAUUCCAUUUUGGUUGCUAGUUCAGACUCCCACGUGUGAUCUCCUCCAAGUUCGGGGGAACAUAGUCCCAAUAGCGCAGCAUGAUAAUACUAAAAUUGAAGUUCCACUUAUGAUAGUUGAUAGAUUGGACAUCAAAAAUGGCACCUCCUUACAGGUCAAUAUCUCAUAUACAUAUCUCUCUAUCUUGAUAUUAUAUAUAUACAUAUAUAUAUAUAUAUAUAUAUAUAUAUAUAUAUAUAUAUAUAUAUAUAUAUAUUNNNNNNNNNNNNNNNNNNNNNNNNNNNNNNNNNNNNNNNNNNNNNNNNNNNNNNNNNNNNNNNNNNNNNNNNNNNNNNNNNNNNNNNNNNNNNNNNNNNNNNNNNNNNNNNNNNNNNNNNNNNNNNNNNNNNNNNNNNNNNNNNNNNNNNNNNNNNNNNNNNNNNNNNNNNNNNNNNNNNNNNNNNNNNNNNNNNNNNNNNNNNNNNNNNNNNNNNNNNNNNNNNNNNNNNNNNNNNNNNNNNNNNNNNNNNNNNNNNNNNNNNNNNNNNNNNNNNNNNNNNNNNNNNNNNNNNNNNNNNNNNNNNNNNNNNNNNNNNNNNNNNNNNNNNNNNNNNNNNNNNNNNNNNNNNNNNNNNNNNNNNNNNNNNNNNNNNNNNNNNNNNNNNNNNNNNNNNNNNNNNNNNNNNNNNNNNNNNNNNNNNNNNNNNNNNNNNNNNNNNNNNNNNNNNNNNNNNNNNNNNNNNNNNNNNNNNNNNNNNNNNNNNNNNNNNNNNNNNNNNNNNNNNNNNNNNNNNNNNNNNNNNNNNNNNNNNNNNNNNNNNNNNNNNNNNNNNNNNNNNNNNNNNNNNNNNNNNNNNNNNNNNNNNNNNNNNNNNNNNNNNNNNNNNNNNNNNNNNNNNNNNNNNNNNNNNNNNNNNNNNNNNNNNNNNNNNNNNNNNNNNNNNNNNNNNNNNNNNNNNNNNNNNNNNNNNNNNNNNNNNNNNNNNNNNNNNNNNNNNNNNNNNNNNNNNNNNNNNNNNNNNNNNNNNNNNNNNNNNNNNNNNNNNNNNNNNNNNNNNNNNNNNNNNNNNNNNNNNNNNNNNNNNNNNNNNNNNNNNNNNNNNNNNNNNNNNNNNNNNNNNNNNNNNNNNNNNNNNNNNNNNNNNNNNNNNNNNNNNNNNNNNNNNNNNNNNNNNNNNNNNNNNNNNNNNNNNNNNNNNNNNNNNNNNNNNNNNNNNNNNNNNNNNNNNNNNNNNNNNNNNNNNNNNNNNNNNNNNNNNNNNNNNNNNNNNNNNNNNNNNNNNNNNNNNNNNNNNNNNNNNNNNNNNNNNNNNNNNNNNNNNNNNNNNNNNNNNNNNNNNNNNNNNNNNNNNNNNNNNNNNNNNNNNNNNNNNNNNNNNNNNNNNNNNNNNNNAUAUUAUAUAUAUACAUAUAUAUAUAUAUAUAUAUAUAUAUAUAUAUAUAUAUAUAUAUAUAUAUAUAUAUCUUAAAUUUUUAGAAUCAUUGAAUCUAUCCGCCUUGCAGCAUAAACUUUGGAUAUAGUUUCAUGAAACUUUAGGAAUAGUUGGCCAUCUAAAUAAAAUUUUUAUCAUGCUAGACUUUGGACCUUUCUGAUAUCAAACUUGAUUAUUUUGAUAAAACAGGUGAAGAAUUUGGGAGAAUAUGCGCUCUUUUUAUGCAACAACCAAUCUCUUUGUCUCUCUUGUAAAGACUUACCUGAGUUGAAACCAAACCACAUCUAUUUCACCAAUGACUUCUGGUGGUUGAAUAAUAACUGGUGGUGGAAAGAUCAUGUAAAGAAAUGCCGGGAUCUAAUCGUCUAUGACUUGGAGAACGAAACCCUCUCAUAUAUUUUGUACUCUGAUGCUCGUCUAAACAUGCCACCUCCUAUUUGGAUCACUCCCAGUCCUCUGCUUAAUGACUGAUAGGUGAGUCAAAUUUGUUCUUUCAUCUUGGAUCAUGGGCUAGGUCUGCUUAAAGGAUAUUGCACACUUUUUUGUUCUUUCGUCUUGAUGCUCAUUUAGUUUCUUUAUUUCUCAUGUAAUUUAGGGGUUUAAGAAUUCUCUUGGAGACGCAAAAGAACAUGCCAUCAGUAACUUCUCUCUCUCUCUCUCUCUUUCUCUCUCAUAUGCAGUUUCUUCUUCCUCCUCCGGAAGAAGCCAAUGAUAUCUAUAUGUACAAGCGAGUCACAGAAUCUUUUGCUUUCGAUCAUUCUCGUCUCUGAUCGGUUUGCCCACACCGAGGUGGAUGGCUUCGCUCUCUAAGGUCUGUCUGGUGGGAUGGGUUAUGGCCUUGAGCUUCUCCUCAAGAAUUAUUCUUAUUCUGUUUCAAGUCUUGUGUAAUAUGAAUCCUGAUCAGAUUAUGUGUAUGUUUUGUUCGGAGCCUGCUUUAUCUGAUGUGUUUAUAUCAAUGUUGGUUUUGGUUGUUCCAUAUCUAACAAUCCAACAUCUCCUUGCACAACUCGAAGAUGUAUAAUUCAUUGUAUGUAAAAAAGAAGUUUGCACUGCUUCAAAGGGAUUGCCAUUUUCAUCACUUCAAAAUAUAAAGAUUCAUUCAUAAGUGAGAUGAUGAAACUUCAUUUGUUCUCUCGACGUAUGAUAAGAUAUCUGAGGCCUUUUGGACCUCGUGAUCUUGUCAUCUAAUGAGUCAUCAUUGAUCCCCCAAGAAAUUAUCUACUGUGGAAUCUCCGCAUGCUUUUAUCCUACUGAGAUGAUGAAACAUGAUCUACUACAAUGGGCCAACCUUAAGUGGUUCUAACAGGGAACAUGUGGCAGGCCCACUCAACCGCCACGUGCGCACAGCAAGCCCACAAUCCAUAUUAUAAACUUUGACCAAGUAAAAUACAACAUUUUUUUUCAUGAAAUCAUUUAUUUUGAUUAAUGAUUAGCACUGUCACAUUUGAAUGAUGAUUUAGGAAGAUCUUCUAAUUAGUUACUCAAGUUACCUGAUAUUCUACCACACUUAUUAGUCGGAGGUGGACUAUUGUGGGUUCCACUUGGGCUCCAUCUGUAGUGGAACAGCGGGUGCGCGUAAAAUCUUUACGCAGUGGAACCCUCUUCUGUUAAACCAUUAACAUGAUGCCACGUGUAAUAAUAUUCAUUUGUGGAACCCAAUAACUCCACUCCUCUAAAAGCCGCCUUCUUCCGAUUUUUAUUAAAAAAGGUUGUUCCACGACUGAAGAUCCUCGCAAAUGUACCUGUUUUUUUUUUCCUUAAAAAGCUGAGCCCGAAUACUGACUAGAUAUAGCAAUCUAUGAUAAUAGAUUGGCAUCAUAUGACGAUUUAUGAUAAUAUUUUUACUCAUGUCUAAAAUAAUAAUUAUAUUUUAAAAACGUAACAUAUAAGUCCCUCCCGUCAUGACCAGAUAUGGCGAUCUAUGACAUUAGAGUCUCCUUACAACAUAUGUUGACUCGUAAUAAACUAUUAAUAUAAUGAUAUAUAAUUUAAAUUUUAAAAAAUUGAUAAUAGGCAGAUUUAGAACAUGGACCGACCACCUAAUCAAGUUCCUUCAAAAUGAGCAUUUCCACAAUCUAGUAGGCGACACGCUUAGCCUUGCCUCGACAUCUGUUAUAGAGGUAGAAGCCUCUUAGCACCUACGAUGGCCGAAAAAUCCAUAAUAGAGAGCCAAUCCCCCGAGCGUAAAGAGGAAACCACCAGUCACAUUACGCACUUCAACAUCCGAAACUUCUCCUCUAUCAUGCCUUGGCUCAUGUCUUAUUGGGAAAUCUUUAAGGGCGACAUCACAUACGCAGCGGAAGAACAGAAAAAUAAAAUAUGUGUUUGUCGUUGUGCGAAGAUUGGUGUGCAAAAUCCAUAAAACUUAAAACUGCACAUAAGAUAGAUUGUAUUAAAUAGGGAGAUCGUAUAUCCCUGAAUAAUUCCCUCAUGGAGGUGACCUAGCCUAUAAUGUCAUAGGUAUACACUGUUCACAUCAUCUCAUCUCCUCUUAGACACACUUACAUUCAUUAUAUACGGAUCAUUGUCUAGCAUAAACAAAUCAUUAUGCAAUAUUCUUCUCGCGAAUCUAUAAGGCUUUGUCAAAAUCUGUAAUAAAUUGCAGAUGUGAUAAGCACUGUCGGUAUCCAAUACUCAUGCAGUAUCAUAAGAAUCUGACAAUUGGAGACUGAUCAUGAAUGUACCUGAAACUUCUCCAAGCUUCUGUUUCGCUCUCUUUACAAGGUACUAUUUGUAGUUCCUCUUCCAGUACUCAUCUUUACCACAAUGGAAGCACUGGCCUUUGUCCAUUGCUGGGUCAUUCUUAGCAAUCUUUGUUUUACCUAAUCUGCCCUUUCCCUUCUUAAAGGACUUUUCUGCUUUUUUUUUUGUUUUUUUUUUUCUGUCUCACUAGUAUAAAGAACUGACUUCUCUUUUUUAAUAGUGCUCUCUGCCUCCCUCAACAUAUUGAGGAGCUCAAGGAGAGUCACCUCAAGCUUGUUUAUGUUGGGAAAUCUUAGGGGGGCGGCAUCAUAUGCGCAGCAGAAGAACAGAAAAUAAAAUCCCCAAUUCCUAAAGAUAUGUUCACCGUCGUGUAAAGAUUGGUGUAUAAAAUCCGCUAAACAGAAAAUCAUGUGUGAGAUAGAUUAUGUUACUAAGGGAGAUCGUAUAUCCCUGAAUUCCUACAUAUCUCCAAGAGAGGGCGAAGGAGGUCAAGCGCCCUCCUCUCUAGCGGUGGUCCAUACAGUAGGGCUGCGAUGACGCUCCUCAAAACUCCAAGCCUACUCUAAGGUGGAGAGAGGGAGGAGAAUAGGAGAGGCAACCAAAAAGCUCUAGCCUAUAAACCACUAGCUCUCUUCUAUUUAUAGAGGUCCUAUGUCAACUUAACCGUAAUGGAUCCUGCCCUAUUGGGUAUUGGAUCUCCAUCUAACUACACAAAUCUCUUAGAUUAAUGGAUCUCUAUCGAAUAAUCUCUCAUGAACUCUUAUUGGAUCUCAUUCAUAGGAUCCAAUAAUUUAGGGACUUAUUAGAUAUCCAAUAAGAUAGGGGCUCUAGCGAAUAUCUCAUAUCCGAACCUCUACUCAUCGCAAUACUUACCAUAUGUGUGUGACCCUCUAGGCCCAAUAUUUAGCUGGUCAUGAGUCAUACCUAUCAGAACUCCUUAUGGUUCAAUGAAUUAUUAUCUUCAUAAUAAUUCACUCGACUCAUCGACUACGGACGUACUAGGCCACUAUGCCACAGUCCCUAGACGAUACAAAAGAAUCCAAUCCACUCGACAUGUCUGACCUUAGUUACCAUGUACAUAUAGUCUCUCAUCCAUCUAAUAUCCCAGAUAUCAUAUACCGGUCAUGGUGCUGUCAGACCCAUAUGGUUUCUACUCGAGUCUCGCUUUAAUCGGAUUCUCCUAGAAAACCUUUUCUCUCUUAAUCCGAAUGACCCUGGCCAGGGAUUUGUCAUAGCAAAAACACAUGGGGGCGGGGUGGUGGGGGUGAAUUAGUAUAGCGAAAAUUUUCGACGAUUUAAAACGACGUUCGUACGAUAAAAAACGUCUUCGAUGAAAAAUCAUUUCGGAAAGUUCUUCAACUUAAGAUCAAAGGAAAGUAUAGUUGAAGUAAAGCAAUGGAGGUAGUUUGCAGUUUAAAAUAGAAAGCUGAAUGUAAAUGCAAACCGAGAUUUAGAGUGGUUCGGUCAAUCUUGACCUACAUCCACUUUUGGCUUCCUCCUCCGAUGAGGUCACCGAUGUCCACUAGAGGCCUUCCUUCAAUAGGCAAAGGUCAAUCACCUUUUACAUCCCUCUUCUCCUUCUACUGGGUUUAGGAGACAACCCUUACAAGCACUCACUCUGCUCUCUAAAUAGAACUCUAACACUUAGACUCAAAGAGGAGGAUUCACAAGAGAUUGCAACAGCUUUUUCUUGCUUUUAAUCACUCUGUGCUUAUGCGUUUUAACCAGAGAUGAGAGGGGUAUUUAUAGGCUUCAAGUUGAUUCAAACUUGGAGCCUAAAUACUUCUCAUCCCGGGUUUCCUGGGCACGGGCGGGACCACCGCCCAGUGUCAGUCUGACGUUGACACUGCCUGGGCGGUACCACCGCCCAGAUCUGUGGUACCAUCGCUUGAGGCAUAGUGCUGGGUGGUACCACCGCCUGGCACCUUACCAGCGCAGUACAACCGCCCAUACUAACGGUACCACUGCCUGAUAUAGUCUCGAAGAUUGUGCCACGACGGUGAGUCUUCUUGGGGCACUAUUUGGGCCUCUUAUUGGGCCCAACAUAGUUCUUACAUGGGCUUAGCUGGCCCCUAAUUGGGUUAGCCCAAAUCCAAGCCCAAUUACAUGCUAACUACGAUUCCUAAGACAUAUUUCUAAGCUAAGUCUGUAAGUCUUGGUUCUUCCAGCGAGCUUUCGGCGAUCUUCCGGUGAACUUCUGACAAUCUCUCAGCAAUGUUCCGAUGGACUUCUGGCAAGCUCCUGGACUUCACAACGAUCUUCUUGGUGAGUUCCGAUGAGCUUCUCUAGCAAGCGCCGUGACUUCUCGGCUAGUUCCGCCAGAACUUCCGACGAACGUCCGGACUUCUGACAAACUCUCGAACUCCCAACGUAAUCGCAUCCUUAACUCCGAGACUUCAUUUUGCUUCAUGCCUUGCUGUCAUAGUUAAUCCUGCACAUGUAAAACAUACUUCGAUCUAGACAAUUAAUCCUAAGCAAUAAUCAAGUUGUCCGGCCUAUCAUUAGUCCCUCGACGCUUCGUUCGAUUCUUCGGCGCAUCGUCCUCUCUUGCGGCCUAUUGCCUAAUCGGCCAGUUGACUCCGCAACUCCGAUAUCCUUGGUGCAAUUCCCGCUCUUCUUGGCCCGAUGCUCGAAUCCAAGCCUUCUGUCGAUACGUCGACCAUUCCACCGGCCCGACAUCCAAUCUUUUGACAUGUUUUCCCCCAACACAACAUGAUUCUUCAUGCUUUAAUUGUCUCAGCCUAAUCGAAGCAUCACUCAAAAUAAAGAUUAAAUCAUAAACACAUAUCAAAUGGUUUCAUCAUCAAAAUAUGAGAUUCAACACUAUCGACACUCAAUAGCCCUCGUAAGGUUAACUACCACUCUUGGUGACCGGUUGUGCUAGAUCUGGGAUAUCCUAACCUAUAAGUCCGGUAUCAAAGAGUGGAGCACUCAUACAGGACAUCCUUGGUAUCUCAAGUCUAAGGACAAAUUACACCACUGGGACUACGGAAUCGUUGUCUGACAAUAAGGCAUCAUUAACCAUUCAGCAUUCCGUAAGUAAAUCAAUCAGUGAAUUCAUUCCCCGAUGAGCACCUCUAUUGUAUCCCUGGUGUCCCCACAUGAGUAGCUAUAAAGACCAACUACAUCCAUCAUAUGGACGUGUAUACAAUACACUAGUCUAUUCGGUUAUCUUGAUGUCUCUCUCGAGUAACUUAUGACAGAGAUUAUUUAGGAUAUGUGAUUAAAGGCGAAUCGAUCUCAUUAUCGUGAUCUCAUCACGUGAUUGGCUUGCAGGACACAUAUGACUAGCAUUUUAUAUUAAAAUUCAUUAUGAACUGUGAAAAGGAAUCUAGUAGGAACUUAUGCACAAUAUCCACAUGCAAGUUGUCCUCUAGAACCAUUUCUAAACAUAUAUAUAUAUAUAUAUAUAUAUAUAUAUAUAUAUAUAUAUAUAUAUAUANNNNNNNNNNNNNNNNNNNNNNNNNNNNNNNNNNNNNNNNNNNNNNNNNNNNNNNNNNNNNNNNNNNNNNNNNNNNNNNNNNNNNNNNNNNNNNNNNNNNNNNNNNNNNNNNNNNNNNNNNNNNNNNNNNNNNNNNNNNNNNNNNNNNNNNNNNNNNNNNNNNNNNNNNNNNNNNNNNNNNNNNNNNNNNNNNNNNNNNNNNNNAUAUAUAUAUAUAUAUGUAUGUAUAUAUAUAUAUAUGUAUAUAUAUAUAUACAUAUAUAUAUAUAUAUACAUAUAUAUAUAUAUAUGUAUAUAUAUAUAUAUGUAUAUAUAUAUACAUAUAUAUGUAUAUAUAUAUAUAUAUGUAUAUAUAUAUACAUAUAUAUGUAUAUGCUUUCGAUAUAUAUAUAUAUAUAUAUAUAUAUAUGUAUGUAUGUAUAUUUAUUACUUUAUGUGAGAUGUAUUUGCUUUCGAUAAAAAAAAACCUAAAUCUUCUAAUGCAAAUGCAAAUAAAGCAUUCUUGGUACCUUGACAUGAUGUAAAAACAUCUGAUAUGACGUACACGACUAAAAUAUCCUCUUCUACUUACUAUAUUAGCAUAGGACAAGAAAUAAUACCAUUAAUAAUCUUAGAAUAUAAGUAAUAGGUCCCAAAAUCUAUAUUGUGCUCUAUGAUAGAUAAGCUUAUACCCCCGGUACAAGGGCAAAUGAUAUAAUCAUUAUAUUUAGUCAAUUAUAACAUGACAUAUGGAUUCUAACCAAUGCAUCCUGAAUAUGCCACGUUAAAUUUUUAAACAACCUAAUAGAUAUACUAUAUUAGCAUAUUAUCUAAAUGAGAGUAACUCACUAUAUAAGGCAACCUCUACCGGUCCUAAUAGAUAUACUAUAUUAGCAUAUUAUCUAAAUGAGAGUAACUCACUAUAUAAGUCAACCUCUACAUGGUUAUUGAUUUUGUGUUGGAGUUGACUUGGGAAUGAGAAAAUUAUAAAUAUAUAGAAAGGGAGAGCAGUGAAUCCUUGUCUUCACUCAUUGUCUUCACCAUAUUAUGGCCAACUGGUCCAAUCUUCACCAAGAUGUCCUAAACCUCAUCUUCUCUGAGCUCUCCCUACAUGAUCUCCUCUGUUGCACCGUUGUAUGUGGUGCAUGGUUACGCACCAUCCGCGAUCUUCGUCGAUACUGCACCAAGCUUCGUCAUCAAAGCCCUUGGCUCGCAUUUAGUGGUAGCAGCGACGACAUAGGUAGUGCCACUGAUGACCCCUCCGCUGCCCACUUCUUUAGCCUCUCAGAGCAGAAGGUGUACACAAUCCCCCUCCCACAACCUCCGAUUCGUUAUUGCCUCUUUGUGGGUUCCUCCCAUGGGUGGCUGAUCACCAUCGAUGAGUGGUUCAAGAUGCGACUAUUGAACCCCAUCAAUGGUGCACAGAUCAACAUCCCUUUCAUCCUCACACUCGAUCACAUCGUACCCUUUCGUGACCCAUGGGGGCAUAUAAGAGGCGCCAUCAAUAACAUCCUCCAUAACCAACAUCCGGUCGAAGAGAUUCCUAAGGUCAACUUCAAGGCCAUGCUAUCGUCAGACCCCUCACAAGGAGACUACAUCGUUACACUCAUCCAUUGCCCCUAUGGGGGCAUCUCCUUUGCUAGAUCUAAUGACAACAAGUGGGCGACGAUGUCAUUGCCUGGUCUCUAUGAUGAUGCUAUCUUCUAUAGGGACCAACUCUAUGCGACAUUUGAUGGAAGGGUAGACAUUUGGGAUGACCUUAAUCAAGAGUGGAAGACGGUGGUGCCUCAGCCAGAGUUGGUUGAUAUUUACCCCUUCCACAUUUCAUUUUGGUCACUGGUUCAUACUCCCUCAUGUGAUCUCCUUCAUGUUUGGGGGAAGAUAGUCCCAAUGGUGGAGCAUAAUGAUGAUAUUGAAACUCCACUUAUGAUAGUUUAUAGAUUGGACAUCCACAAUGGCACAUCUGUACAGGUCAAUGUCUUAUAUACAUAUCUCUUUAUCUUGACUAUAUAUAUAUAUAACAUAAAAGAUACAUUAAAUUUUUAUAUAAGAAUCAAACCAUAACUUUUAGGUUUUCUUCCUUGAAUCCUUCUCAUAUUAUAAUUUCUUAUUUUUGACGCUUGCUUUAGUAAUCCUUGAUACUUAACAAUUCCAACCAUUUCAAAAUAUUUUUUGUCUAGAAAUAAAUAAACUUAUUAUCUUUGUCUUCUUUUGUGACUCCAAUAAAGAAUAAAUUUAUUAUCCUUAUUAAAUCUCAUACCACUUAUUAGGAAUAAAAAAAAAUAAAGCAAAACAAAAGGAAAGCAUGUGGAUACAUAUUGAAUAAUAAUAAAUAUACCAAAAAAUCGAUAUAAGAUUAAUGUGAUUAGAUACAUCUCACUUUAUAAAACUUAAUUAUUCAAUAUGUGAGAUCAAUUGCAAUACAGUUGACUUAUCUCAAAUAUAAAAACUAUUAUACAUAUCUCAGAUAAAAAAAAUUAUAUGUUUUUUCUUACACUCUAGAGAGAAACCCAAGAGUACCCAAGUAUUCAUCACAUUUUGUUCUCUAAAUAAUCUAGAAAGAAACUCAAAAGCACCUUAGUAUUUCUCACAUUAAAAUAAAGGAAGUAAAUCUGAAUUUUCAGAAAUUCCUUAUUCUCCUAGUAAACUUGGUUCAAAUAUAUAUAUAUAUAUAUAUAUAUAUAUAUAUAUAUAUAUAUAUAUAUAUAUAUAUAUAUAUANNNNNNNNNNNNNNNNNNNNAUCAUUGAAUCUAUCCGCCUUGCAGCAUGAACUUUGGAUUUAGUUUCAUGAAACUUUAGGAAUGGUUGGUCAUUUAAUUAAAAUGUUUAUCAUGCUAGGCUUUGAACCUUUCUGAUAUCAAACUUGAUUAUUUUGAUAAAACAGGUGAAGAAUUUGGGAGAAUACGCUAUCUUUUUAUGCAACAACCAAUCUCUUUGUCUCUCUUGUAAAGACUUACCUGAGUUGAAACCAAACCACAUCUAUUUCACUAAUGACUUCUGGUGGUGGAAUGAUCACCAUAGAGAGAAAUGCCGGGAUGUAAUCGUCUAUGAUUUGGAGAACAAUACCUUCUCAUAUAUUUUGCACUCUGAUGCUCGUCUAAACAUGCCACCUCCUAUUUGGAUCACUCCCAGUCCUCUGCUUAAUGACUGAUAGGUGAGUCAAAUUUGUCAUUCAAUUAUUUAGUUUAGAGGUUUUGUAAUAGCAUCCACUUUUUUCAUUGUACAAUUUAUUACCUCAUUUACUUUACUACAAAUAUUGAAAGAUGCUCAUUUAGUUUCUUUAUUUCUCAUGUAAUUUUGGGGUUUAAGCAUUCUCUUGGAGACGCAAAAGAACAUGCCGUCAGUAACCUCUCUCUCUCUCUCUCUUUCAUGCAGCUUCUUCUUCCUCCUCCGGAAGAAGCCAAUGAUAUCUAUAUGUACAAGUGAGUCACAGAAUCUUUUGCUUUCGAUCAUUCUCGUCUCUGAUCGGUUUGCCUACACCGAGGUGGAAGGCUUCGCUCUCUAAGGUCUGUCUGGUGGGAUGGGUUAUGGCCUUGAGCUUCUCCUCAAGAAUUAUUCUUAUUCUGUUUCAAGUCUUGUGUAAUAUGAAUCCUGAUCAGAUGAUGUGUAUGUUUUGUUCGGAGCCUGCUUUAUCUGAUAUGUUUAUAUCAAUGUUGGUUUUGGCUGUUCCAUAUCUGGCAAUCCGACAUCUCCUUUCUCAUCUCGAAGAUGUAUAAUGUUUCGUAUGUAAAAGGAAGUUUGCACUGCCUCAAAGGGAUUGCCAUUUUCAUCACUUCAAAAUAUAAAGAUUCAUUCAUAAGUGAGAUGAUGAAACUUCAUUUGUUCUCUCGACGUAUGAUAAGAUAUCUGAGGCCUUUUUGGACCUCAUGAUCUUGUCAUCUAAUGAGUCAUCAUUGAUCCCCCAAGAAAUUAUCUACUGUGGAAUCUCCGCAUGCUUUUAUCCUACUGAGAUGAUGAAACGUGAUCUCUACUACAAUGGGCCAACCCUAACUGGUUCUAACAGCGAACAUGUGGCAGGCACACUCAACCGCCACGUGCGCACAGCAAGCCCACAAACCCAUAUUAGAAACUUUGACCAAGUAAAAUACAAUAUUUUUUUAUAAAAUCAUUUAUUUUGAUUUAUUAUUACCACCGUCACAUAUGAAUGAUCAUGAUUUAGGAAGAUCUUCUAAUUAGUUAUUCAAGUUACCUAGUUUUCUACCGCAUAUGUAUGCAGAGGUGGACCAUUGUGGGUUCCACUUGGGCUCGAUCUCGAGUAACCACGUAGUGGAACAGCGGGUGGCCGUAAUUAGUAGCGGAACCCUCUUCUGUCAACCAAUUGUAUGAUGCCACGUAUAACAAUAUUCAUUUGUGGAACCCCUGCACGCCACUCCUCCCAAAGACGUCCUCUUCAGAUUUUUAUUUCAAAAAACUACUUCCACGACCGAAACAUACUCACGAUUGUACCUUUUAUUUUAUUGGGCAAAAAAACUGGGCCUGAAUACUGAGUAGUAUAGCGAUCUAUGAUAAUAGACUGGUGAACAAAGGGUUCUCAUGUAAAUAGUAGAAACAUUAUUUGUAUUCUAUCGUGACCGACAUGCCGUUCCACUAUAUGGACUGGUUGUGAGAAGAACACUUCCAAAUUCCCAUUUACUAUUUCCUUCUCUGUCACCUAUUUCGCUUGCUGUUUCGGCGAUCGCAUCUCAAAUAUGGCCGCUGCGAGGGUUCUCCUCCGCCGAGGAUCCGCUGUCGCGCGCGGCCUCCUCCCUACCAACGGCCCGCCGGCCACCGCUGCCGCCUCCUCUGCAGCGCUUUUUCUCCAGGCUCAGCCCCACUCCUCCCAGACCGACUCGGCGGCGGCCGCGGCUAAGCCCAAGCGCACCAAGACCUUCUCCAUCUACCGAUGGAACCCCGAUCAUCCGGAGAAGCCGCAACUCCAGCACUACGAGAUUGACCUUGGCGAGUGCGGCCCCAUGGUCCUGGACGCCCUCAUCAAGAUCAAGAACGAGAUGGACCCCUCCCUCACCUUCCGCCGUUCCUGCCGCGAGGGCAUCUGUGGAUCCUGCGCCAUGAACAUCGACGGUGACAACGGCCUCGCUUGCCUAACCAAGAUCCCGGCCUCCUCGGCGGCCACGACGAUCACGCCCUUGCCGCACAUGUACGUGAUCAAGGACCUAGUGGUGGACAUGACCAACUUCUACAACCAGUACAAGAGCGUGGAGCCAUGGCUCAAGAGGAAGGACCCGCCGCCCACCCCCCCGAAGGAGAUCCCACAGAGCAAGAAGGACCGCGCGAAGCUCGAUGGGAUGUACGAGUGUAUUCUUUGCGCCUGUUGCAGCACCUCCUGCCCUAGUUAUUGGUGGAAUCCUGAGGCCUAUCUUGGGCCAGCUGCCCUCCUCCAUGCUCACAGGUAUAACUUGUUGAUUCAUUUGUAUUCUUUUUACAAUGCUUGGGUUAGCUUUGUUGAUUCAAGUUUGCUGCUUGCUGAUUGGUCUGUGACUGGUUUAAUUGUGAAAUGGAUGAACUUUUGUUGUUUGGUAUCAUGUUAUCAUUAUGUUGAGGAGUAAUGUUCGGCCGACCAUCAUGGGGUUGGAAGGUUGAUGAUCAUUAUGAAUUUGUUUGUUCUUUUUUGUGUCCUUGAGGAGGAAAGAGAAGAUUGGAGUUUAUGAUUUUUCCAACUUAAGAGUUGAUCUCUAGAGAUCCGUUUACUAGAUGAUAUCAUAUGUAGAUGAACAGAAAAAAAAGGCCAAAAAUUUGAUAUCGAAAUGACCAUUACAUUUUUUUUUCAGCUAAUCAUGCCUCCUGCUUGGAUUCAAUGUGCACUUGGUGUAGGGUUUCGAAUAGGUUUACAACUUCUGUAUGUCUGUGCAUUUGGUGUAGGGUUUUGAAUCGGUUUACAACUUCUGUAUGUCGGUGCACUUGGUCUAGGGUUUUGAAUAGGUUCUCUCUGUUACAGUGUGGUAUCUUCCAGAUUGUUUUGGAUAAUCUUUAUAAUGCUUUAUCACAAUACAUUUUCAUUGGUGUCAUGUUUUGUUUUAAUUCUUCAGUUUAUUGCUAGUUGUAUGGCUAGGGGCUUCAUUUUUGCUCAUAUGCUGCCUUCAGUAUUAGAAAUUCUAAAGUUUGGAAGUUUGUUUCUCUUUCCUCACGUUUUAUUCACAUAAAUCGAGAAGUUGUUUCCACGUGUUUCUUUGUAUUCAUAUGAGUAUUGUUUUUUGUGAUUUAUUGCUUCAUAUGAAACAAGAAUGAAGGUGAACCUGGUGGUUUAUAUUGGUAGGAAUUUGCAUUCCAGUCAAGGUUUAAGAAGAUUAGACAAGCUUACUAUAUUCAUAUUUUUGAGUUUCAUGAAAUUAUCUAAUUUUAGCUGUCUUUUUUAGGAUCUUCUGAGAGAUAACGAGAGAUGAUAUUUGAGGAUUCCUUUAUGAGCUAACAAAGGAUACUAGGGCUCAAAGGACUUAGACAUGGAAUGAAAAUUAACAAAUAAAGAAUAAUACUCGAUGUAAACAUGUCUGAUUCGUAGGAAAAAGAAGUCAAUCAUAAAAAGAAGUUUUGGUUGAAGUAAAUCCUCCCAUUGUAGUUUUGGUUGGUUCUAGAAGUUGCUUCACUUGUCUUCAAUGUAGUAGGAAACAUUGCUCUCCAAUGACACCAAAUGUUUAGCAGUUUGGGAAGGUAAAAGAAGAUAUUGAACAUCAAGGGCGUUGAGUGGAUUGUUGAUGUGUUACUUGUAGACUGGUAAAUAUAAGUAGAAAGACAAGUUAAAUAUCGUAAUGACUUUGAAAAGCAGGAUAUAAUAUAGGGUUUAUAUAAAGGUGUAAAAGAUAGGAAAUGGGUGCUUAUCUUGGAGUCACUCAAAAUCCAGACCGCCUUUAGGAGAAGAAGAUAAUCUUACACCACUCGCACAUAGUAUUGAAAGUUCAUUGAGUCGUAAUUGUUUUCCAGUACUCCUUUUAUAUAAAUCUCAUAUACAAGAAAAAGAGUAACCAGACAAAUUUAUAACUUGAAAGAAUAAUGGAAUCAAUCAUCCCAUCUUUUAUUUCUGGCAAAUUUCUUUUGCCUCCAAAUUUUCUUUGAGAGAGAAUCUUCCUAUUAGCAAGAUCUUGAUUUGGAUUAUUUGCACUAAAGUAUCCGGGAAUAAUAUUCUGUAGACCUUUUAUUGUAUGGACGGUGUGUCAUAAGCGACUCAAGUUUGUUGUUAAUCCAAUCAUAGCAAUGCAGACGUGGCAGUUUAUUUCCUAUUACUUCUUAUCAUUUACCCACAUAUAUUAGCAUGUUAUCCCUAGAAUAUGUCAUAUGUUUCAGGAUUCAUCCCCUGAAGAUUGUUUGGUUUUGUGCUGUUAUGAUGUGUCUUACACAAUAAAUGGACUAGGAAAAAAAUGAGUUAAGAGGCAUGAAUUAUUGCACUACUUUUUUGAUGAAUAUUAGCAACCGGUACAACCCUUUAUCUUUUUGUUGUCUUUCUUUCUGUUUUUUGUAUCCUGGGAGCACUCAGAUUAGUUUUUGGUAGCUUUAAUUUUGCUUGGAUAAGCUCUUCAUGGCUAAGGUUUGCUAUGUUGUGUAGGUGGAUACAGGACAGCCGGGAUCAGUACACAAAGGAGCGCCUGGACGCUGUAAAUGAUGAGUUCAAACUGUACCGUUGCCACACUAUCAUGAACUGUGCUCAUGCCUGCCCCAAGGGACUGAACCCCGCGAAGCAAAUUGAAUCGAUCAAAAAGCUUCAGCUUCAGUAAAUUGUUCCUGAGAUUUCAUUUGUUACUUUGAAGAGGCAGCAUCUGGCAUUUAGUUAUUUAUUUUUGCAUCAAUAACAUUCACGGAUUAGUUAUGUACUUGGAACUCCUAGUUUCCAAUUGUGCUCAAGAAUAAUGAGCUGAAACUUGUUGAUUUUGGGAAGAUAUCAUUGUAGCAGCAAUUUCUAUGUUCGAGGUUGAUGUGACUAGUUGCUUAAAAUGUCUGAUGGACUGCUGUUUGAUAUGAAUUACGUUGGUGAUUGAAUUUGGUGUUACUGAACCUGUUGAAUAUCUUAUUGAAUGUUCUACACACCCAUUAUAUGGAAUUAUAGGCUCUCAAAUUGCCUUAUGGACUGUUUUUUAAUAUGAAUUAUAUUGGUAAAUGAGUUUGAUGCUUUUGAAUGUGUAGAACAUGUACUUGUCAAAAUAAACUAUGUUGAAGCUAAAUAGCACUAUUCUUGAGAUUUUGAGCAGGGCAAGGAUCUUCAGGUGACCAACCAUUUUGGCAGAUUAAUGAGAGAACUUAUAUGACUGAUACGAUGGGUACAACUUCGAGAUUAGAACGGGGACUAUAACUAAGCAAAUUGGCACUACAUUGAUGUGCCAUGAUAAAUUCAACUGUGUUUAUGUUUUCGUCCUAAUAAGGAAGGAACUCUUAUGUGCAUCUUAUGUAUCACAGAUUACUUGCAUCAGAUGUAUUGUGUAUCGUCUCAUCAACAAUCAAAUAUUUAUUCAACUUGUGAGUAUAUCGUCUCCAAUAUUUUGUGCAGAUUCAGGAGAUCAUGGGUAAUAAGUCUUCUUGUAAACAUCUAUUAAACAUGAUUAUAGGGAUGGUUUGGAUGGAAUUUUGAUCCAUCUUCUAAAUGAUAUAUGAUGAAAAAAAAAAUGAGUUGAGAUUAUUCACAUGACAUGAAUUUUACAUUUUAAGAAGUUACAUUGGCAUCCAUAUAGUUAUGAUAGUGAAAUAUCUAGAUCCAUUUAUCCUAACGAUAUCAAUUUUAUUGACGAAAAUACGAAAACAAAUGGUAAAAAGAUAAUUUUAAUGUUCAGACGAUGUCGAUGGUGGUGGACAGCGACAUCGCUGCCAUCGAUGUCGACGCAGUUGCUUGGCUGCCUCCGACGUCGAUAAACUCUGCUCUCACUGCAACAACUCGCCUCCAUGAGGAGCACAUUGCCAACCUCAUCGUCACUCGCCCCGCUCUAUAUUUGCGAUAAUGCUGAUGCAGUUACCAAGUGACAACCGUGUUAGCAUCGAAGCAGAUGGUGAUGGUCGUCAUGAUAUCUACGGCGAAGAUGGUGACCACCUCGCCGUUGCCUGUUGGGCGGAUUCCAACCUCAACUCGAAGCUGGGGUCGUGAAACCUCUUGCUACCCCCCACACCACACCCCUCCCCGGCCCUACCCCAUGCUGCUAUGUAUCUAUAUCAACGCUAACACAGUUGUUGAGAGGCAAGUGCAUUGACAUUGAUGCAAAUGGUGGUGGUUGAUAUAGCAUCUAUGGUGAAGAUGGUGGACGCCUCGUAGUUGACCCGUUGGGCGGAUCCCAGCCUCGACUUGAAGCUAGGGUCGCCAGAGCUCAUGUCGCCCACAUCUACGUCAACGUUAAUGCAGAUGUCGCUUGAUAGCGAGGGGUGGAUCCCAAACGUAAAGCUAGGGUCGUUGGAGCUCCUAUUGCUCCCCCCACUAUCACUCGCAUCUGCGUUGACACUGAUAUAUAUGUCGCUCGAGAUUGAUGGGAGCAAUAAGAGCUCUGACAACCCCAGCUUUGGGUCAAGGUUGGGAUUUGGUCAAUGGCUCAAUGGCGAUGCGACCACCAUCUUCAACAUAGACGUCAUGGUGGCCACCACCAUCUACGUUGACAUCGAGACAGUUGUCACUCGACAACUAUGUUAGUAUCAAUGCAAAUGCAGAGUGAUAUGGGACGAGCAACAAGCUCCUCAUGGAGGCGGGUGGCAUCACGAUGAGAGCAGACUUAUCGUCGUUGAAAGCAACUAGACAACUGUAUUAAUGUCAAUGCCAAUGAUGCCAUCAUCCACCACCACCGACAUUGUUCGUCUCUUAACCUUAAAAUUUCUUUAUUACCCUUUGUUUUUAUGUUUCUGUCGAUAAAACUAAUAUCGUUAGCCUAAAAGAACCUAAUUAUUUUACCUUAAUUAUCAAUAUAAUUUUUCAAAAUAUAAAGACUAGAAUACUAAAGAUAAUAUAUGAUUAACCUCACAUAUAUUGCCCAGAGAAAAAGCUACUAUGACCAAACCUACACAAAGGCGAAAGGGACACUCCUUUUGAGACAUGAUAACGCUAUAUAUUGUUGCACAAAACAUGAGGUAAUCACAAAAUACACGCAAGAGGUAGUGGUGAUCAAUGAACUGCACAGUAAUAUCAGUUCGAGAGAUAAUUAUAUACCCCCUUUGUGAGAUUCAACAAUAGAACUAAAAUGGUGUCCAAUCUGCAAAUUCUUGAAUUCAUAUGUUAAACCCUAAUACUACCUGUAAACACUUGUGUGCACAAAGCCAUGGAGCUAAAAGAAAUCAAUUGCCUGAAACAAAUUGAAACAAAAUUGACCUCUAAUAGGUAGAAAAAUGUCCUUGCAUACUUAUUUAUGUCAAUAUGUCGGAACAGAACAUCAAAUAUAUUCUCUGUUGAGACAUCCUCAUGGCAAAUGCACAAUUGUUGCAUAGUUAAUAGAUCUCAUAUUCAAAUACAUGUGAAUAUAUCUUAUAUGCUGUUUAAUAUAAUGAAUGAAUUUUUUUAAAAAAUAUUAUAAAACAUAGUAUCAAGAAUAUCAACAAUCCUAAACGCAACACUUUCUACUGUUCUACUAGUAAAGUUUAUCUGAAUUGUCCCUGCUGCGUAUAAGAGGGACUCCAUCGUCCCUCCAAACAAUUCGAUCCUCGCAUAAAGCUGUUACUACCUCCACAUAGACUUGAUGCUCCUGCAAUGAAAGAUUUAACUAUCAUUAGGAGACUGCUGAGUAUUGACAUAGCGACAGAUGUUCUUUUUUCAUGGUAGAAACAAAGAGCCAUUGCUCUUGCUUAAGUUAAAUUGGCUAGUAGAAAACAUAAUUCUGAUAUCAUCUGAUUGAAUAUUCAAUUAAAAACAAUAAAUUACUUGAUAACCUGGCUAAGGACUCUUGCUGCAAGCUGCUCGGCGGUGUCAUCUGUUAGCACAGGCACUACUCUCUGAGCCAAGAUACGACCAGUAUCAUACUGUUCAUCAACAAAGUGAACUGUGGGACCAGAGUACCUGCAGAUUGUAAAACAAAGUCACCACAUAGAGAUUGGAACAUAGAGUGAAAGGUUGUAAAAAUGGUUUCCGUUUGUAAUUAUUUGGGGAACAGGAAGCUAUUCACAUACCUUGCCCCGGACCCUAUGACAGCUUCAUGCACCUUUAAACCAUAAAAACCUUUACCACCAAAAGCUGGAAGAAGGGAUGGAUGAAUGUUUAAUAUGGAUCUUCGAAAUGCCUGAACUAAUUCGAUGGGUAUAAGCUUCAAGUAACCAGCAAGCAGAAGAAAGUCAACCUCAAAUUUCCUACAAUCAAUAAGGCAAUGUUUGAAGGAAGGCAAAGCAUCCAAAAUCUAACCAAAAAUCUCAAGAAUAGGCGAAAAUAGUGACCUAGGUUAUGAACACUUCUGUUUUACUGAGGGCCCAAGGUAAGAAUAACAACCACAAAUGCUUAGUGGGGGAUCUCUAGAAGUGCCUUCAGGCCGAACAAGCAUGCCAACCGACUACAAGGUGGAGGGGAUUGCCAAGUACAAGAGGUAGAGGGGAUUCAUUAAGGAGAUCACCCAGCUGAGGUUCAACAAAUUCAACUACGGGUACAAACUGAGGAUUUCUGGAGUCCUCCACAACCAUCCAGGCUUGGUGGUCCCUAAAGACCCUAGGGAUCAGUGCUUGUUGGACAACCAAUUCGUAUUGGUCAGGAAUGAUGGCCUUAAGUCUUGAGUCCAACUAUAACCAAUGAUGGCCCAAUGCCAUUGAACACGGGGGGAAGUUGAGGGAGUGCUGAGGGACGAGGCAAUAGGGACCAUGGUCAAAGAGGAGCCCAACGGUACUGAAACGGAAGCCACUACUGUUGACUAGGAGCAAAGGGGAUCCCAACACAUACUGUAGUUUUUUUUUGUUGAAUAAAAAUAUAAUUCUUUUUAUUACGAUUGGUUCUGAGAAGUAAUUGGAAUCCACAAGUGUGAGUUAGACAUAGUUCUUCCUAGUUAGGAGUGAAUUUUCCGAAUGAGUGGGAUCAUUAAUGUAGCUUUGUGUAAAACUAAAUCCCCCCACUCUUGGUUGGGGAUGUUAGACCUCAUGAAGUACCAUAGAAAGUUUGUAAGUAAGCUACAUAGAUGUGCUCUUGUAUGAGUUUCAUCGAUCAAGUUGAGGUUUAGUCUAGCUUCAAAAGAGUAGGUUUUGGAAUCCAUAAGUUCCAUAGCGAGUGACUUCGGCUUUUAUAAGACAUUGGUUCCCUACUCCAUUAUUGAUAUGGAACUAAAUGUGUUUAUUAGUAUAUCCACAAUAAGGGUGUUAAGGCCUCUUAGGCACCAUAUGAUAAGUUAUCUUUUGUUUUCACCAUUAUAAGCAUGAGAGCUCAUGAGGAAUUAUCUUAUUUGAGAUGGACCCUACACAAUUUUGCCCCUUUGGGUGGAUUCCAGAAGAUGUCUCUGAAGAUAGAGGUGACAUUGAUCCUCCUACUCGAUCAAUCGAUAUAGAGACUAUACAUGCUUAUCAAAAUGGAUAUAUGUUUUAUUUUAUUCUUGAUUGAUUUAAGGUAUUUUAUAGGAAUCAAUUAGGUCGAAUUGAAACUCAAUUUCAAACCACAGCGAGUCUCAAAGUUUUAUAGUUUUUGCCUCCUCAAAUUUCAAACAAUCAUGUAUCAAGUUUACAUCCAUAAUCUUCUUUCUCGAAGGAAACAUAAUUAUGAACACCACAUGUAGAUAUGGGUCUAACAAUAGUUGAACAACAUUAAAAAUACAUGUAAUGCAAAUGACAUCUUAAAUUUUUGUAAUUGGUUUAUGUCAUUCAUUGUUCUUUUAUUCAUUUCGAGGAAUGAUAACGUGUACCAUGAGUUAUAUCAGAACUAAACCCAAAUAUAUCAGAUCUAAAAAAGGAAAAUACAAGUUUAGAAACUCAAUAAAAAGAAAAAAAUAUGGAGAACAAAGAGUUAUUUCGCAAUGAAAUUGGUAUAAAUAAAGGGAAGAUAGUUUGGAAAUAUCUCCGACCAAACCUCAUUUGAUGCUUAAAUUAGAAUUCAAGAAAGAAGAUUGCAACAAGAAUAUUCACCUUAAGGUUGCUACAAGUUCAAAUGCUGAGACACCAUCAGGUGAGGAUUUGGAUCCAGGAAAUAUAACAACUGGAAUUAGAUUAUCUCUUGCAUAUUCAGCACCGCCACAACCUGCCAGAAAAAUUAACAGACUUGCAAAUUUUUUUCCUCAAAGAACAUUAUAAUGAUUGCAUGAACCAGUUAAGCUAAAAAGCAACAAGUGUCUUUGGUGAUUAGUCAGGUGCCAAAUUUCCAAUGACAGAUUACAUUCCAUUUUCUCAUUUCCACUUUUUUUGUUAUGAUCGAGUAGCGUUAUCAAUGGAUACAUACUAUUAUGGUUCGUGCAAGUCUAUUAACAUUUUAUUACUAAACAAUUAAUUAUGUUUGUGACAAGGUAGUUCAGUUGCAAGAACAAAAAUGUUGCAACAAUGGUACCCCACUAGGAUAUUGCUGCAACAACGAGCAGUUCUGAUAAGAGAAGGAAAUUGUGAGCAUUCUACUGACAUCGAGUGGAAAACAAAGUACAGUCAGAAAAUCCAAAUAACUAGAAGCAAUAAAUAAUUGGAGCAAUGCCAAGUAGAAAAGACAAAAAUAAUCACCAAGAGAGGAAAAACAGAAAAAAAAAAAAGCUGCAGAUAUAUGUUACGAGCAAAAGCAAUACAAGCAAUUUCUUCCAUGCAACCACCUCAAAUGUCCAAAAACAAAACAUACCAGGCUUAUCUGUGACCAAAACUGUAAUAUCUCCAUGAACUAAUCCUUGCUUGGUUGCUUCAUGGAUAGCUUUAAAGUUUGAACCUCCACCAGAGACAAAAACUGCCAAUCUUUUCCUCUGAGUCGAUUUUUGUGAAGUGUGAUCAUUUGUCAUGCAGCUCACUGUCUCGGAAGCACUACAUCUACAUCCCAAGCCCUGAUAUUUACUCCCAGCUUUCUGCAGCACCACUUUUGAAGGAGGAGAUGCUUUUGCGAGUAUGUGGCUCCUAUAUGUGACUGAACAACGAGAGAGAGCAUCCUGAGAUGCCAAUCUAAUUGUCAUACAUCUCGAUGACAUAUUGAUGAAAUUUGUGGGGGAAGGAAGCCUAGUCCCAAUUAUUGAUCCCAGAGCAUCCAUUGUUUUAAAGAAAUAAACAAAACACACACACAAGCUCCUCCUAACAACUGCUGUGUGUUCUUCUAUUUAUUUAGGAAAAGAAAAAACCUGCACAAUUGAAAAACAGAAGUUAUAAGGCUUUCACUAAGAAAAACUCACUGGUCCUAAAAAAUAUCAGAUUUUAGUGUUGGGGAGGGAGAAAAGAAAUCCAAAAGAUCAAAAGAAAACCCAAAGAUCAACAAAUAAGGAACAUACUAGACAACCAAGAUGUAACAUGGUUCAACAAUUCCCUUGCCUAUAUUUACAGAAAAAAUCAAAAUUUUCAAUAUAUAAAAUUAAUUAUUCAACUUUCAUAGAUCCGAAGAACUCUUCUCUCAACUUUCUUUAGAUCUACUAAAGAAGAACUCUCAAGAGCACCCAAAAAGGUAAUCCCUCUCGCCAAAACCUUGAGACUCAAUGUGUAUUUAUAGGAACAAAUCCUAAGGACUCUUCCGACUUGAAUUUCUAGUCUAAUCUAAAUAGUACUCCAUCAAGGAGUUUGAAUUUAAUUAAGACUCUUUAAAAUAAUUUGUUUAUUAUAGAGUAUAAAUUGGCAUCAAAUGUUCCCAACUCUAUAAUAUUCAUAUAUAGAGAGAGAAACAGGAGUCAUGGCUAUUCAGUUACUCCAAAUUGCUAUCUCUUACCCACGGUAUCAACGGGAGUUUCUCAAAUAUACUAAGUCGUUAAUGUAGCACGGAAUUAUUUUACGAAAAGGAAAGAUUAAAGAAAGAUAAGAACCAAAAUUUCUUUCUAUGCUUUUGCUUGCUCACAUAUCCGAUCAGAAAUAAGAUUUGGGCAGCAGAGGAAGACGGGAGAUCAACCGCGUGCAUGCGAUCCACUAUUCAUCACUUAGCUGCUUGAUAAGCAAAAGGAGAAAAAGAGGAACAUUUAAGAGGGCCCCAAAAACACCAUAUUUAUCUUAAUUGUAGAGCUAAGGAUCUGGCGGAAGAACCGAGCGGCGGGCGCGGUGGUGGUGCCGCUGAUCGGGGCGCCGGCGACGACGAGGCGGAAGUCGCCCGCGAUAGGGUUUUGGUAUCGGGCGCGAGUAAUCGACGGCAGUCCCUGCAAUCGAGUUUAUCGGGUUUGGACUUCCCGGUGACAAAGAACAUUGCGGGAGAUGUGUUGUUAUCGGGUCAAAUCCGUUUUCUGUGUUCCGGAUCAGUUGUCGGUUUUAUGUAUUGCGGAUCCGGAUCCGUGUUGUCAUUUACCACUAUAAAUAGCAUAACUGAACCGGUUCGAUCCGGCUUGAACGCAUAACCGGUCCAAUCAGAAAACGCAUAGAUGAUUUAUGUGUAAUGUUUCUUCACAUAAUGAUGCUGAUAAUGUUAAAGAAAUAUAGUGCUAAUAAUACUUCGGAGUUGCAUAAAUGUAAUGUUUUAGUCUGGUUGAACUUUAGGAGAGAUAUAUAUAUAUAUAUAUAUAUAUAUAUAUAUAUAUAUAUAUAUAUAUAUAUAUAAACAGAAUCACUAAAGGCUACACUAAAAGAUUCAACAAGAUAGUUUGACUACCGGUUAAUUUGAUUCUCUCAAUCCUCAUCAAUACUUAUAUAAGCGACCUCUCAUUUUUCGACAAAGUCAUAACACAACCACUAGCAACAUUCUUACAAUUCUUAUAAGAAGUCAACUAACAUAUUAUUACAGAGUCAAUCAUAGUUGGUAACAGGAAGGUUGAGCUAAAAAAAACAGUCAAAGAUGAAGAGAAUCUUUAUUGGAAGCACAUAGAGAGGCCAAGGAAAGAUAGGCCACGAGGUGAUAAAAUGCCGCUUGAGGAGAUUUUACACCCUUAAACGCUUCCCAUACCAAAGUUUUCAUGCAAAUCCAGGAAAGUGUUAUUAAGAACCUCACGACCACUAAAAGCACUAUCGAUAAGGAGAAAUAUGAUGAGAUAUUAUCGAUUUCAUCAUGAUCAUGAGAAUGAUACUGAGAACUAUCAUGCCCUGCCCUGAAGGAAGAAGAAUUAAUCUAGAAAGGGCAUCUCAACAUAUUCCUUCCCAUGGUCCACAAAACUUCGCUAAGGCCCUGUGGACCUAUUGAGCAGCGGGUUGAUGUAAUUGUCGGAGGGCUCGCCAUAGGGGGUAGCAAUGCAUCUAUCAGAAAGGCUUAUGCAAAAAAAUCCUAAUCCAAAAGGCAAUGUCUGAAUGGAGAUCAAUCGAUCAUGUUCAAGGAUCAAUUGAUUGUCUCAAGAAGAAAAAUAUCUUGACCCUAAGCAUGAUGACAAAUGUGAUCUCCCUUAAAAUCACCAAUGCACUAGUGAAGAGAAUCUUGAUCGGUACUUGAAGCUCCAUCGAAAUCUUAUACUAUGACGCCUUCCAAAAAGUCGACCUAAUUAUCAAAUAUCUAUAGCUUAUUUCCUCUACUCUAAUAAGGUUCAUUAGAGAUUCCAUCACCCCACUAAGUACUAUAGGCCUCUAUAUAAUUUUUGGAUUCAAGAACUACUCGAAGAUAAUAAAAACUAAAUUUCUAAUGGUAGAUAUUCUUUUUGUAUACAAUGUCAUUAUUGGAUGACCCACUCUCAAUCGUAUAUGAGUCAUGGUAUCAACCUAACACAUGACACUUAAAUUUUCUACAAGCUUCGAAAUAAGAGAGCUGAGGAGUGAUCCAAACGAGUCAAGAUAAUGUUAUUUGAAAUCAGUCACUCUACCAAAUAAAAUAGCACUUUCAAUCCAAUAGAUAGAUCCACAUGGACCGUCUCCAUCUAACCCACAUCUUAAGGUAGGAGAGCCAUCAGAGGAGAAUCUUCUUAAUGAUUGAUGCUCGAAGCACUCGAUUAAGGUUGGAGUCACCCUAUUUGACCAAAAAGAAAGGAGCUAGCUAAGUGAUUGGCUAGAAUUGAUUGAAGUUUGGCUCAACACCGACUCAACAUUGAUUCAAGACAUCAAGCGAUACGAUAAAAGUCUCGAAGGUUUAUGACUGAUCAAUAAUCAAUGAUUGAAGAAGUUAAUAAAUUAUUAUAUAUCAACUUUAUCUAUGAGAUCAACUAUCUGCUUACAAAUGUAAUCCUCAUUAAGAAAAAUAAUAAAAAGUAGAGAUUAUAUAUUGAUUACAUUGAUCUUAAUAAGACAUGCCAGAAAGAUAGCUUCCCUCUCCCCCGAAUUGAUCAAAUUAUUGAUGCCACAUUUGGACAUGACUUGCUAAUAUUUAUGGAUGUGUUUUCUAGGUAUCAUCAAAUAAAAAUGGCACGAGAUGACGAAGAGUUAUAACUAGUAGGGGGCUUUACUAUUAUGGGGUCAUGUCAUUUAACCUUAAAAAUAUUAUAGCAACAUAUCAAAGAAUGACCAAUAAGAUAUUUCAACAAUAUAUUAGACUGAUAUGCUCAUGAAGAGUCACUUUACAAAGACUCACUUACUCAACCUGGUGGAGACCUUCGCAAAUAUAAAAAAUUUCAAAUGUACUUGAAACCUAUUAAGUGUGCAUUUAGUGUAAACUUUGAGAAAUUCCUUCGCUUCAUGAUUCAUUAGUGAGAGAUAGAUGCUAAUCUAGAGAAAAUCUUAGUUGUCAUAGAUAUGAAGCCAUCGACUUUGGUCAAACAAGUUCGGUAGUUGAUCGGUUAUAUCAUUGCACUUAGUCAUUUCCUAUCUAGAAUCGAGGAACGAUGUUUACUAUUCCUCAAGAACUUGAAAUGCCCAAAGGAUUACUUAUGGAUUGAAUAGUACUAAGCAGCCUUUGAUUUUCUUAAGAAUUAUUUGGCAGGCCUCCCCAACUUUCUAGCCCACUUCUAGGCAAGGAACUAUAUCUAUACUUAUCAAAAACUCCGAUAGCUAUGAGCUCAUUAUUGAUUUGGGAAGAGACUCAAAUAUAGUGGCCCAUGUAUUAUAUUAGCUAUGUACUUCAGGAUGAAGAGAUCAUAUACCUAAAUUUUGAGAAGCUCACCUAUGGGUUGGUGCUCGUAGCCAAGAAACUCCGCUCAUACUUUUAGGCUCAUCAUAUCAUUGCCAUGACAAACCAGUUAAUGUGCUAGAUCCUUUCUAAGUCAGAUGCAUUGGUUAGACUCUUUAAAUGAGCACUUGAGCUCAACAAGUUUGACAUCACUUAGAGGCCUUGAACUACAAUUAAGGCCCAAGCCUUGAUGUAUUUUAUAACAGAAACGACUCUUAUCUAGGAGGAUUUAGAGAUGAUCGAAUACUGGACUCUCCAUGUAGACAGAUCUAUAACACUAACGAAUGAGGGAGCAUGUCUUGUCCUUAAAGGUCCUGAUGGAGAGGCCUAUAAACAUACACUCUGAUUCAGCUUUACAGUGACCAACAAUAAAGUUAAAUACAAAGCUUUAUUAACUAGGCUCAAGCUAGAUAAAAGCAUGAAAAUUGAAAGUUUAAAAAUUUUCUGUGACUCUUAGCUAGUUGUCAAUCAAGUGUAUAAUAUGUAUUAAACUUAUGAACCGACCAUGGCAGCCUACCUUACCAAAGCCCAAUGACCAAUAUAUGAUAUCCCUUAGAGCAAAAACAUCACCAAUGAACCAACCAUGGCAGCCUACCUCACUAAAGCCCAAUAACCUAUCCUUUAGAGCAAAAACAUAAUGGUUGAUACUCUCUCCAAACCUUCCCGAAAGGUGUACUUUAAUGUUGCAAAAGGAAUCAUAAUAAUGACAUUAGACCAUCAAAAGUAUCAACAAAGAUCAAAUUUUAGUCACUUUGAUAGAAACUACCCAAAUGGGUGGUAUUUGAAAGUAUCUUAAGACUGGUGGCUUGCCUAACGAUUUAACCAAUGCAAGAUAGAUUUAGAGGCAAUAAGCAUGGUGCUAUAUUCUAAAUGAUGUCAUUUAUAGAUGAUCAUUAUUAUAUCCUCUCAUUGUAUCCAUCCUACUGAAGCCUCUCAAGUCCUAUCCGUGAUCCAUGAAGUAUGUGAGGAGCAUAUUAGAGCAAGAUCCCUUACCUUUAAGGUACUUUGGUACUACUGGCCAACCUAAUAGAUGCUACGAAUUUUGUCCGACGUUGUGAUCGAUGUCAACGCAAUACUCAAGUGUAUAACCUUUUGAUGGUCAAGUUGACAUGACAGAGCUUGGCUCUUCGCACAAUAGGGCUUAGACAUUCUGGGACUCUUUCCCCUAGUUUCAGGGCAAAAGAUACAGUUGAUUAUAGGGGUAUAUUAUUUCACCAAAUGGGUCGAAGCUGAACCCCUAGUCUCAAUAUAAAAAAAAACAAGUUGAGGGUUAUAUUCAGAAAAAUAUUGUCUCAUGAUUUGGGGUUGCCCAAGCAAAAAUCAUAGAUAACGGGAUAUAAUUCAACAACACUAAAUUCAUAUAAUAGUAGUUCCUUCGAGAUUCAGCUCGGUGGCACACCUCCAGACCAAAGACUUGGUUGAAGUCACUAAAUGGGUAAUACUUGAAAGUAUGAAGAAAAAUAUUUUGAGGGCUUAUGGGAGGACAAACUCCUGAGUACUCUAAGGAGUUAUUGAACCACUCAGAAAGCUUCUAUAGGGGAAUUAUCAUUUCACCUUACCUAUGGUAUCGAAGUCAUGCUCCCAAUUGAGUUAAUCUUGUCAACCAUUCGAACUCAAUAUUUCUCCGAGGAUGGCACAAAACUCGAUCUCAGAGCCAACUUAGAUAUAAUUAAUGAAGAACCCAAAUCCAUUUGAGAAACUUAGCCUACCAAUAAUACGUGGCUAAGGCAUUGCAAAGGUUCAUCUCCGACGAAUAAAGGAAGGAGAUUUGACCUUAAGAAAAGUUGAAGUUAGUGACCCACAUAAGAGGCAAGCUAAUACUAAUGUAGGAAAGGUCAUAUCAAAUCUCAAAAGAAGCUUAACCAAAGAUGUACUGACUCUAGACCAUAAGCAUGUCAAACAUUCCUAAGACUUAGUACAUUUCCCAUUUCAAGAAGUAACAUCUUUUAAAAACCCUUUUGUAAUAUUAACAUAUUGUGUAAAUACUCUUUUUGGGAAAGAAAGAUGUUCUAUUCAUGAAAAACUUAUACAAUAUUCUCGAUAGCUCUUACAUUGCAAAAUGAGCAUCUUCUGUCAAAAGAAAAACAAGUAAAAGGAAAUCUAACAAGCCAAUUCCUACCCCUUUAAAUUUUUUACAAUUUCAUCUUCGAGGGGUGAGUUGGUGACAAGUGUGAUAAUCAUCUCCUUAGUGGCAACAUGCAUGUUGGCCAGCUCAUUGUCCUCUUCGUUGGCUCAAUAACAUCUCCCUCGACAUAGAUAGUUAUCUUGCAUCGAUCAUCAAGUUCGUCGGACCCGACCAUGACAACCUUGCUGUCAAUGGAUACGGUCUUAAGGAGCUCAUUGUGGAUGUGCUUAUAUUCAGUUUGGGAAAUCGCGAGCUUAUAAUUGAAGGUGAAGGCAUUAUGCCCCUAAGUUUUUUUCUUAAAGCCCUCGAAGAUCACCCCAUAAACUUCUACCUUCACCUUACGGUUGUCUGCUUCCACCAAUGAUUGGACCAUCAUCUUGUUGGUGUGUCGAAAGGUCACAUACUUUGGACUUCAAGGCCAAACCCUCCCACCUAAGGCAUUCAACCUCUGCGUUAGCAUCAAGCCUCUAGUGGUACUCUUAAGUAGCUUCUACCUUUGUUAUUGGAUGCACUACCUCCUCCCAUUGUUGUAAGUCAGCCACAACCACCUAGAACUUGUGUUCCAUCUCGCCCUUUCGAGAUCAGAGUUGGGUUGUCUCGUCUUCUGCCCAAGACCUCUCGACUAUAUUUUCUUGCUCCGUAAGGAGCUCAACCUCUUAGAGAAGGUUGCUUGCAACUAUUGUCGAGUCUCUUGGGUUGUCUCGUUUUCUGCCCAAGACCUCUCGACUAUAUUUUCUUGCUCCUUAAGGAGCUCAACCUCUCGGAGAAGGUUGCUUGCAACUAUUGUCGAGUCUCGAGCUUGAUUCAAAAUUGUCACGACCCAAGCCUAAAGUUAAUGUAGUAUACUCGACCCUUAUAAGACAAUCUUAGCUUUUGCCUACUAUCGAUGUGAGACUAAUUUUUUACUACAUCCAUAGGUAGCUCUACUUAAGCCCUCUCACCAUGCCCAAAUAUUAGGUCGGCUCUAAUACCAAAAUGUCACGACCCAAGUCUGAUGGGCUAACUGGUUAAUAACUCUGUUUGGUCCAAACCAUUGACCAAAAUAUUUAAGCCGGAGUUAUUGUAGUACACUCACCAGACCCUUAUAAGACAAUCUUAAUCUUUUGUCUACUUCUGAUGUGGGGCUAAUUGGGGUGUCAACAAAAAUGAUGAGGAAUGGAUAGAUUUAGACCAUGACCGAGCCUUUGUGUUUAUCUAUGAGGACAUCCUUAGUGGGCCUUAGGUAUAGACCCUUGGCCAACACUAGGUGCAAGAGGCACUUGUUCCAAGAGGUGGCCUCCCUUGGAACCUCCCAUGAUAGACUGGCAUGGUUUAUACACCACUCGAGACUAUAGAUGAUCCCUCAUCUUCGGUAACUAGCCCAUGGAUAAUACGCAUCGUUGUGAGUAUUGUUGGAUCGGUAGGAACCUCAUUAUCGAUGCAGACGAUGGGCCCUCAAAGGUGGUCAACGACCUCACUCCCGAGUCUGAUAAGGAUGCUUGUUGCUAUUGUGGCUGCUCUUCUCCUUCAGUAGGUUUCUACAUGACAACCAUUGGAGCGAGGGGAGUCGGAAUGUCGGGAGGAGCCCUCUGGUCAAUGUGUGUCCUCUUUACGCGCCUAUUGGCUUAGUAGUGGUGAUGGAGAAGUGGGGAGCAUUUUUGCCCGACAUGAGUGCUUGAUGCCCCUCUUCCUUCGAUGACUGGUCGAUAGGUUUUACUUUUGAGCUCUUCUUCUUAAUGAGCUCUCAAUGAUUUACCUCAUUGAGCGACCACUUGUCUAGUCUUCCCAUCUCGACGGUGGGCGAUGACCUCUAUAAUGAUCCCUUGGAUGUUCAUAUCUGCAAGGGAGGUGUGUGUGAAGUUAAUGACUUCAUAAAGACAUAUUAGCAAAGUUAUAAAUGGAUUACCUAGAGGCGUUGGGCUGAGUCCUGUUAUAAUGAGCCAUUGUCGCCCUUCUAAAGGAUGUUGUGGAGUCCAAUAAGACUAGAGAUAGUCUCCUAAAUUGAUUUUUCUUUUGACCCGUGCAACCUUGAGGCCACAUUAAAAAAUUUUCAAGUGGACCAACUUAAGUCAAUCAACCACUCAUUGCUCGAAAGAAUAAAAAAUAUCUCCUCUUCCAACCAUUACAAAGGGUCAAAACAUUAUGAACUCAACAUCCAGGUUAGGUAGAGAGAAAGUAGGCUGAUCCUACGAAGCACAAACUAUAAUAAGCAAAUAGAAGGGUUGAAUCUUUGAUAUUUUUCAACAAAUGCCGUAAGAAAGCGUCACGAAUUUGAUGUUAUAUGAGUGAGAGAGAACUUCUAGAAGCUGAGAGCCUUAAAAACAAACACAAAAAAAAAAAGAUAAAGGGGAAAUAAAGUCCCACCACUCGAUCGAGCGGAUAAGUCCGGCCACUCGAUCGAGCAGGCAGCAGCUCAUAUAUGAUAGAUCUCCCAAAGAAACUCCAAGUUAGAGACCUCUAAAAUCGAGUCACACUUUACAAUGGGUUUCCAUUGCUAGUCCUCGUUAGCACGACUGACUCCACUCCUGAAAGCGCCACUAGAAACAGCAAGAGCGAUGACGGGAUCGGUGUUCCUCAGGUCUCGCCGCACCAUGUGGUAGCCACGCCACCACUCAGACAGCUCCCUUCCAACGUCACAUCCUUCUCGCCGAACAAGAUGGGACUAUGCGAGCAGCACGGCCUGCAAGAGAACCUUCUUCGCCAUUAGUGCACCUCUUGUCAUAUAAAUCAUCCACAAUUCCUGCCUUCACUAUAUGUAAGAUCUGCAACACAUUCUAGUCAUUUACAUCAUCACAAGAUCCACAACACACCAUAUAAGUUCACAGAAUUAUAAUCAAAGAACAUUUCUACUAAAGCAGCAUAAAGGGAUCCAUCAUAGCAUGUGAUUCACAGAAGAGACAUCCAAGGAAACAUUUCUACUACUUAGCAGCAUCCAAAGAUCUAACACACCAUAUAACUAAGAGAGAUAACAGAAAAAAGAAAAUUUUCUACUAGUAAGCAGCAUCCAACAAUCCAACAGACCAUAUAAAUUCAUAGAAGAGACAUUCAAGGAAACAAAUCUACUAUUAAGCAGCAUCCAAGGAUCCAAGAAAGCAUAUAAGAUCAUAAAAUAGAAGAUUAGUUGUUACUGGAACUUCAAAUACAUGGAAAAUUUAUAGCCAAAAAUUUUUAGGCAUGAUAAUAUCAGCCCAGUUGAUCGAAUUUCUGUAUCCUCAAAGUUCAAGCUUCUUCCUGUAAUAAGAUAACAAGAGUUGCAAAAAUAUCCUGUCCAUGUGGGAUGCUUCUGCUGGUGCCGAAAAACCAUCACAUCUGAUGGGCAUCAACCUUCACUGAUGAGACAUCAACCACAUCAAACCAGGACAAUUAAUUUAAAAGAGGAACCUCCACCACAUGAAGAGAAUCCACACCCACCUUUUUUAGGCAUCAGCCAUUCCUGAUGAGGAAUCAAUCAUAGUCAACCAGGAUGAUUCAUAUAAAACAGAAACAUCCACUAUCCACACCUAUCUUUUGUAGGCACAAUUCAUUUUUGAGUUCAGAGAACAAAAAAAGAAGAAAAAAGAAUGUGCCUUUAUUCUUUCUCCACUGAACUGAUGUCUGAGAAAUCUAUCUACAAUUCCACUGAACUGAUCUCCAGUAGACAAGUGAAAGAUGUUCCACAUUUAUACCACCAACAAAUGGACUUAAAUAACAGAAUUUGAUGCGCUCUACUAGAAACAUUAAAAAGUAAGCUCUCCCUCUACGAGCCUCCCAUCAAUGCCAAAUAUAAGGGUCCAAUAUAAGCAAUCUUAUCCCUACAUGUGAAAUACUAUUAAAAAGACAACAAUUAAAUCACAAAAUUUAGUUGAAUGAUUCUUCAAAUAUUUUUCCAUCCUCAAACUACUUCAUGAUCAACAAAUAAUUAAUGAAAUGACUUUUCCCGAAUGAGUCAUGACUAAAGAUUAAUAAGUUCAAACUUAUGGCUUUGUGAAUGGCACGUACAAAACAAGCUACCAAGCGGUGUAGUAGACACCUUUCUUUAUCAGUGUAUCUAGGUGAUACAAACGAAAGUUUGUCAGGAUGUUCUUUUCUGCUAACUUUGGUCUGACAUCAACAUCAAAAGAGAAAUUAUCUAGGGAUAUAGUUUUCCUGCUAUCGAUCAAUCUUCUUAAGAAAAACACUGUUGUUGUAUUUCUAGCUUUUUGAAAUAGUUCUGGUUAACAAAUAGCAUGAUUUGAAACAACCAAAUACAACUACCAUAAUUCUGGGAAAUGUAUAUACAAAGAAGGAAUAAGGGAAAACAGAAAUGAAAGUGUAGAAAUAUAGAGAUCAAGAAUAACUUAAGUUACGGUUCAUAUGUAGAGAAGAGAAUAUCUAAUAAUGUGGACAGUGAGUAUUUAAACUUUAUGAACUUUUUAGUCAGAAAAUUACAAUGGUAAGCUUACAAAUCAACCUUCCCUAAAAUUGAUCCACCUAUUCUAAUGUCGGCCGGGAUGCUUGCGCUCAUACAAACAUGAUUGUGAUUUCUUCUAGUUCAUUCAUGCAAUAUGAUCUCCAGUUCUCCACUGUUGAUAUUCUGUGUGCCAAAGAAAAAAGAGACAAGAUCUUUGUGUGUUUUCUUGUAGAUUUAUAUGUAAGAAUUACUUACUGAAAACUAGAGGAUCAUACAUAAAGCAGUAUCCAGAUGGCUCACCCACAGUACAGAAGAGCCAGAAUUUUAUUUAUGGAGAUGCCAAUCUCUGACAUCCAUAUCUUAGUAACUAUACGGAGUACUUUCAGGCCGAAUUGAUCAUCAUAAGGUGUUUGCGCUUGAUGUAGUCUCCAGAUUCCAUGUCGACAUUCUCCUCAUAGGUGGUCUCAGACACACAAUAGGUGGCUGGUCGGAAACUAUCCUCUACUUCACAGGCCUCUUUGUGCUUGUAUACUUGGUGAGUGUUUGUGAGGAGAGGUCUUUCAGACGUAGCCUUCUCCAACGAAGAGACAUAGGCGUAGUAGUCUCCCCCUGAGGAGAUCCUUGCCUCAUGGAACUCCACAUGGCUUUGCUGUGGGUGGUGGUGGUGGUGGUGGUGGUGGUGACUCCCGAAUGACAUUUUUGCUACAGACCUUAAUAUGCUAGGAGGCUUGAUGUUUGUUUGGCUCAUGGCUCUUCCUUUUAUAGUCAAAUUAUGAAAAGAACUUAUUCUCAAAGGAUAAGAACACACUUUAUACUCCAGUUCGUGCCAUCAUAUCAGGCAUCAAAUAAUAGCAAAAGGAAUACGUAUUAUGAUCCCAAGCAUUUCAGUUUUACUCUUAGGAACAGAAAAGAAAUUCUUGAACUUCCGAACAAUUUAACAGGGGAGUCUCAGUGAACAGAUAUUCAUUCUUUUCAUUUACCUAACAGAUAAAAAUAGAAAAUACAACUGCUGAUCAUUUAGUCAAGACAAAAAAAUAAAUAAAUAAAUCAUUCUUGCAUGAGAUCACAGGUUCUUGCAUGCCUAGUGUUUUCAGGCUCUUGCUGAUUGAAGGGGAAAAAAGAAUUUUUAGAUGACUCUAGCAUGAGAGGGUUGAUGUUUUCUCCACGAAAAAGUUAUGUAUGUUUCUUUUAUCUUCAAGGAUCCAGACACAUCCAUAUAAAAACGUUUAUAAAUAAUAAAAAGGAUAUUUUUCAACUAUUCUCAUGCAAAAGCUUGUUAUAAGUAUUAAAACAAGGGUCUAAAGCUUCAAUAACUUGAAUAACAAGAAUUGUUAUUUAUGACAUUCCUGGUUCUAUCAGGUUGUUGAUGAAAAAAGAAUCUUGAGAGCUCAAGACCAGAUAUGAUAAAAGAUGAGAAUGUCAAUUCAACUGAAGCAAAUUGUGGGGUAACAGUACAACUGUACAAGAAUAUUUAAGGAAUACAAUCAAGUUCAGUGUAGAGAGAUCAUCGAUGACAGACAAUCCAACAGCUAGUCAACAGCUAGUUGGCUCAAAUUACAGAAAAACAGCAUGGCUUCAGAUGUCGAUAAGCAUCACUUGCAUGAAUUUCCAAGUGGUAAAUUUCAGUUUGGAAGGUUUAGACUAUGCUGAAAGGUCAACUGAAAUAAAUAAAAACACCACAAUUUUGGGCUAUUGGAGAAGAUUUUAAAAGUGUGUUGUCAACUCUUCUUGAUUGUUCUCCUUGAUCAAGGACUGAAAGAGCAGACUGCUUCAUGAGACGGAGUGAAAGGAGAAGUUCCUAAAGAAACUUAAGGAACUUUCAGAAUAAUUUAACUGUCUGAUUGCUAUAUUUCAAUAGACUAUCACAGCGCCUCUCUGUGUGUGCAAACAUAACUACUCUUAAAGAAGAUAGAAAAAGAUCAAACAAGAUCAUAUCAUCAUCAGUUGCUUGAACAUCUGACAUAAAAAAUAUGCGACUCUUAAACCUGCAGAACACAUAACAACAUGUAGACACAAUCACAUACUUCUAAAUACCAAAAUAGUAAAAAGAGUGAACUAUGAGAUUGAUGCAGUUUGAUUUAAGGGGUUUGACUGAGCCAAGUCUAUAUGUUCAGGAAAUUCAUCAUUAUUCUUUUUUCGUAUUGAGAGUUGCACGAGUUAAAUAUUGCCAAUUUGUAUGAAGUUAUAUAUGAGAUUUGCCUUGGGUCCAUAAAUACAAUAUAAUUUGUUUAUGAAAUAAAUGAUAUUUCUUUAUACAGACUGCAUUACACUUUGUGCAUUUGCAGUUAUACAGAUUGUUGAUGCCUAAGAUACUGAGAUCCUCAUAUUUUUAGAGAAUAAUGGUAAUGUGAACACAUGAAAACAUAUACUGUGCAAGUUCCAUCAAACCGAAUUCCAAACUGAUAAAACUCUCUGCAGUCAGAAGGAACACAAGCAUCUGCGAAAGCAAAGAAGUGAAUGUAACUUACUAUCACCAAAAUAGCUUAGUGGGGCUUCCAAACUUCCAAAGCAUACUUAAUUUGCACAGUACAAAAAACACAGUUAAAAUAUCUUACUGAUAACAGAAAAUGGAGAAACUCUCCUUGUAGCUAGAAACGCUGCAGACACUACUUUGGCACCCAAGUUAGGUGAAGCAAGCAUGAUUACUUGAGUAUCUAUAUACAAUGUACACGUACACCUUAGAACUUCUGCUUUCCAACUUGCCUCAGAAGAGUCACACAAAUCAGAUCAUAAUAUCAGCAAUCAUGCCAUAAAUACCAGCAUACUGUUGUUUAUUAUUUUUGAAAGAGACUCCUGCAAGUGCAAUUCCAAUCACCCAUGUUCUCUUUUGCAAUUUCCAGGUAGGAGAUAUUUGUACUUGUCAAAAUUCUGAAGCAGAUAAGCAGGAAGAUGGACUGCAGAAUACGUGUGAGGUAUAGGCCCCAGCUUCCCUACAAUCUCCUUAAAUGUAUACUCCUCCGGAAGCAUGUCAUAAAGGUCUGCUCCUCGGCAUAUGACAUCCUGAAUCCUUGAUGGAUUCAGAUAAUACGCAAAUCUCACACGAUCAACAUGGCUGUAUGCCUUCAUCUUGAACACAAACUCGCCGAUGUAGCGGAAGCAGAAGCUACAAUGCCACCCCGAAUCUGACAGUAUGUCAUCGGUCUGGCGGUAGUGGGCAUAUCUCGUCUUUCCAGCACGGUACCUAUGAACCGAAGCCCUCCAGCUCUUGUUAUCCAACAAGAACUCAAAAGAGUACAAGUAAUUCCGCAGUCUGAGAUGUAGCUUUUCUGGAAUGUCAUCGCACCACCUCAAGAGGUUAAUCGUGUGGCCACUUGGGAUCUCAUCGACAUCCGACAUGAUCAACAAAUCAUCAUCACCAAUUCCUGAAGCCCUGAUGAGAUGAUCCAAUGCCACUCUCUGGUAGGACUCCUCAACAAAAGGAUUCUCCCCCUUGACGAACCUCCCACCGACAGUCCCGUAAUUGAGCCGUGGCUCCACAAACUCAAAUUGACCCCGGUUCUCAGCAAAGAAGAAGGGCUUUUGCAGGCCAGUGAAGGUAGAAUUAGACUCGAGGAGCACGAAUUCCGAAACAUAAGGGUACAAUUCGUGCCAGCGGAUGGCAAGGAUGUCCAAUUCAUUGCUAAAGAGCACCGCAUCGAACACGCGGCGGGGAACAUCGCGGACUCCCCAGCCAUGGAGCUUGCAGAGGUUCUCCAUGGAGACAUUCUCGUCAUAGUAAUGGGGGAUAUCCUUGAACGGCCUCGGAGGGGAUUCCCAGAGAGGGCGAAGGAAGUAGGUGAUCUUUUGGCCAUGCAAGUAGAUGCCGACAACAAAGGUCGGGACGACCAAGAAGAGAAGGACUACGGCUCCGAAAUUUGAAUCCCGGGGGGCGCACCGGAGCUUUGACAUGGUCCGUAUUGCUCUGCUCACCUGCCCUCAUACACAACGACAACGAUCACGAGUAUGAGGCUCUCUUAGGCAAUUCAACAAACACCUCAUGGAAAAGACAAAAAUUCUCGGAAAAAUUAGAGCAAACAGGAUCGAGAAGCACCAAAUCCAAACGCCGAAUUCGAUAAGCGAGGAGCGUAGGAGGAACGAGAAAAGGAUCAUCACCUGAGUGCAGUAUUCGUCGCUGGUAUCAUCCGACUUCUUCGAAUCGUAAUCUAAACCUUCGAGCAUCGCGCAAAGGGCUCCAAUUUACGUUUAUUAUCAUUAUUAUUAUUAUUAUAUGGGAUUUUCACAUAUUUAUCAUCUCAAACUCGAAAUUACUUUGUAACCCUUUACAAAAUCUUAAAUUGUAAACUAUAUUAGUAUUAUUUAAAGCUUAUAUAUAUAUAUAUAUAUAUAUGUGGAGGAAUAAAUAUGAAAAUUAUUUUUAAAGGGAUAUACAUGUAAUUUGACCAUAUAGUUUUAUUUAGAAGGAGAGAGGGAAACGAACGGACGCCGAUCAGUCUUCAAACCGAAAGAGUCGCGUGUCGGUUGAGCUCUCGCGUCGAUUUAUUGGUUUUAAUUCUCGGGUCAGAUCCAAUAUGACAACAUUAUAAUGAAAAAGAAAUAGUAAAUUAUCUAUUAUCCACAUGUGAUUUUAGUCUAUUAUCACAAAAUAAUUAUUUAUAUUUAUAAUUACUACCAUAUAUGUCAAAAUCAUAGUGUGUCAACACACACACAAAAAAAAACCAGAUUAUUAAUUGUUUAUCGUAAUUUUAAAGAAUCACAGCAGACUAAAUCAAUGUAUUAUAGAAGCUCUGCUAAACUUGUUCUUCUUGCAGUGCAGAGACUGACAUGGGGAUGCAUCAUCCCCCUCAGAACAGCACUGCUUUCAUGUGGGUCACAUCAAUCAAUAUCCACAGAGUAAAGCAACCAACAUGAAAAGGAUUUUGUUAAUGGAAGAUGUGUACUCCACAGGAAUGCAGAUCAGACAUGUUCUUUCUUGCAAUUCUCUACUUCUUAUCUUCUUCAUCUAUGCCUCAGCUUCCUUCCAUCUCCAGAAAAAUGAUAGCAGCAUGCAAUGAAACCAAGCAGAGAAACAUCAGGAGAGGGUUCACUCUGUCAAAACAUAAGCUUGGCAGCAGAAGCCGAUGGAUUAAUUCUUCGAUCUCCUGAAGAACUGGGAAAAGUCGAACCAUGUAUGUGUCAGCUGCAUAAUUUAAUAGUACAAGCCACUGCUUGGGCCCAAUACUUGAGCCUUGCUUUUACUGCAUCCGGAUCAUCCCCUGGUAUCAACAGAAGAGGAAAUUGAAUCAGAGAUCAUGGGAUGGCAACUACAACAGAUUCACCAAAUAAUUCUAUGAUCACAUAUAUCUUUUCCAAGAAACAGGAAGCAAUCAAAUUCCCCCAUUUACUCGAUUUGUAAACACAAAGAGACCACUCCUCGUGAUUGGUUGAAUCGUAUUGGGGAUAAAAAUUGGUCCUUUUUUUCUAGUCUUCGUGGACAUAUGAAGCAAUAUUAGGAAUGAUUUAUCCGGAUGAACACAAAUAAGGGUUGCUUGGAGGAGGAACAACAAAGAUGGGACCUUUUGGCUCAUUUGUAGAACGCCAAAAACGAAUCUUUGGCACAAUUAGCAAAGGGGAGGACCCAAGAAAGAAGUUUUACCAGGACCGGAAAUCCUCCAGUUGGCGAUGGGAGGAGAAGGAGGCGGCGCGCUCAGAUCCAUGGACUCGGCAGAGGAGGAGCGAUCCUGCUGUUGCUGUUGCUCGUCCAAGAACCUCUGGCUCAUGGAGUAGCAGAGCUCUAACGCAGGGAGCGUGUCGCAGAGCUCGGGGAUCUCCUCGUAGCUGAAACCGAAUCCGAGGUCGAGGCACCCCUUGAGCUCAUCCAGGUCCUCAUCCGUCAAGCUCUUCGUCCUCGCGACGCCGCCGGUUCCCUCCUCUCCGCCGUCCGCCCCGUCCACGUAUCCCUCGAGCGUCACCCCGCCGCACUUCCGCGGCCAUACCUCCUCCUCCUCCUCCUCCUCCUCCGCUUCCACCGCCAGAGACAGCGUCUCCUUCAUCUCCUCCUCCCUCAUCGAAGGAAGGGAACCGGUUUCCAUGGAAUAGCUUCCAAUCUCUGUAUCUCUCUGGCCGCGGUGUCUGGGCUUUAAAUGGGUUCCUCUGAUGAUGAUGAUGAUGAUGAUGAUGAUGGGAAACAGACGGCAUGUGAUGCCGUUCGAAACACGAGAGGCAACCUGGACGAUCAAUAUCUACUCUCUUUUCUCUCGUACCGUACAAACUUACUUGUAUUUUUAUUGGAUACUUUUGUGUAGGACCCACUUAAAUCACCAAAUUAAGCCGAUGGAGUCGGGAAGACAGGUGGCUCCGUCGGGCUUUGCAGCUCAAUCCAACCUGGGUUUCGCGUUGGGUUUGCUGCCUCCGAGUGCACCAGUGGGAACGAGACGCAUGGCUUUCAGCCCACGCGACAGCUUGUGGUGG